rnacentral:lncRNA from 1 species
UAAAGCUAAAGACUACUUCCAAUUAAUGAAAAAAGAAUAUGGUAUUGAACCAUCAAUCAAGCACUAUGGUUGUAUGGUCGAUAUUCUUGGUCGAGCAGGACUAGUUGAAGAAGCAGACGAGGUUAUAAGAAGUAUGAAAAUGGAACCUGAUGCUGUCAUAUGGUGUUCUUUGUUAUCGGCUUGUAGGAGCCACGGGAACAUGGAGUUGGCCAGAUGGUCAGCUGAGAAUUUGCUUGAGUUGGAUCCAAAUGAAAGCAGUGGCUAUGUAUUGAUGGCAAAUAUGUAUGCAGCCUCGGGCCAAUUUGCAGAAGCUAUUGAUGAAAGGAUAUCAAUGAAGGAUAAACAUAUAGCGAAAGAACCGGGAUGCAGUUCAGUAGAAGUUAAUGGUGAAGUUCAUGAGUUUGCUUCUGGUAGGAAGUUAGAUUCUGAGUUCCAUGAUAUAUAUUCUUUGAUGCACUAAACAGAAUUAGGAACUUAUAGUCUACUUAGAGCCAUUGUACACAUAAAACAACAUCAUUUGUCACACACCUUUUAUGAAAUGUCCGCAGAACUAAGAGACUGCAAAUUUAGAGUAAAUUUCAUGUCAAUCAAAAAACUGAUCAAUAGGAAAACCAUCUAACAGAUUAAUUAACCGACUUAAACUAGACCAACUUCCACUAACUCUAGUCUAACUACCCAUAACAGAUUACAGCUAAGGCACAGCUGUACUAGUCGUUAAUUCCUCAACACCCUCCCUUAAGCUAGGUGUUAUGAACAGAUUCUUCACGCCUAGUUUGUUCAUUAAGUAGGAAAGAUGUACGUGAGUAAGUCCCUUGGUAAGCACAUCUGCGAGUUGCUCAGAGGAAAAUAGAUGCAGAAGAUGCACAACGCCUAGCAUGCUCAUAGCAACACUUGAUGAUUGCAUGUAGAUCUAUUUUCUCUCUCAUUGAUGAAUAAGUACCGCUUAAAGAUUCAACAACUUUCCCUUCUCGUCUCUCGACUUGAACAAAGGGACCUUACAAAAUUACACUGUUCGUAGUGACUUUUAAAGAUCGUUAGCAUUAUCUUACAGAGAAAAUUAUUUUUGCGAAAAUUGAUGAUGUAAGUGUAAUACUAAUAUUAGUAAUAGGUAUUUGAAAAUGAUAAUUAAAUAAGAAAUAAAUAAAGCUAAAUUUUGUGCUAAACUCUCAAAUCAUCCAAUCAAACGACUUCUAAUGAUUCCUCCCCUCUCCAAUACUUCCCUUCCCUCAUGAAUACAUCCAUCCUCUCUCUGAUACAUUCCUAUCCUAUGUAUCCGGAUGUCCUAUCCCCUCGCAGAUACAUCCCUCCCCUCUCGGAUUCAUCUCUCUCCAAUGUAUUUGCAUGUCUGCUGAUGUAUCCAGAAGUCCAAUGAUGCAAUCAGAAGUCUGGUGAUGUAUCCAGAUUCCAUAAAUUUUAAGGGAUUCUUGUAAUUUGGAAAUAGUAGGGAAAUAAUGUAAUUAACACAUAACACUAUGUGAUUUAUGUAAAUUAUAUUAAAUAUAUUGGGUUGGAUCCAAUUUGGGUAAAUACUUUGCCUGAUGGGUCCAAUUUAUGUAGUUUUCCAUAAAAAAUUAUGUCAAUUUGAUUGGGGGUACGAGAAUCAAACCAACUAAUAUUCGAUAUAAAAUUUGUAUUUGUAUAUUUAAAAUAAAAUUCACAUUAUUAAGAAACUCUAUAAAAUUUCUAUAAAUCAUAAUAGUUAACAAUUUAAAAGAUUUAGAAAAUAUUUGAAAAGAUCGUGAUCCAAAAUUAAUUAUUUUUAGACUCUUCAACUAAUAAUUAGAACAUAUAAAUUGAAAAAUCAUUGAUAUGGAUUCCUUUCCUGGUUGGAUCCUAUGCGGUUCAAUAUAAAUUAGUUGAACUUAAUAUAAAAAUCAAACGUCGAAUAUUUUUAGAUGGGUUAAGAAAGUGCGCACAGCUUGUUUUAAUAAAAUAGUUUUUAUUUAAUGUGGUUAAUUUAUUAGUUAAUUAUUUCACAUGUGCAAGAAGCGUUGACUUCACGUACAGGAAUUUUUAUUCCCUUGUCUUUUUUUUACUAAUCCAAUUUUGACUUUUUAUUUGUCAGUUUUGACAAAAUAAGAAAAGACAAUAUUUUUAUCUAUUAUACCCUCAAUUUAUUUUGAAAGUUAAUGUUUCUGAAAGAAGUAUAGCCUUUUUAAUGAGUAAAUUUAUUUUGAAAUUUUAUUUAUUAAUAUGGGUAAAAUGAUAAACUCACUAUAUCAAUUUCUACCUCUGUCCAAUUUUAAUUGUUAUAGUUUUCCUUUUUGGAAUCAAACGAUAAUAAUUUUGACUAAUAUUUUAUGAUGUAUUUUUUCAUCGUAUUGAUAUGGAAAAAGUUGGAAUUUAUAGUACUUUUUAUAUAGUUUUUGAAUAUCUAUUUUUUUUGUUUAAAAUAUUAAAUUAAUGUAAUCUAAUUUAACUUUGGAAAUUAGUCAAAUCGACUUUUGAAAAGCGCAACAUAACAAUUAAAAAUGGACAAAGGGAAUAUUUAUUUUCUUAAUAAGUGUGUCAAGUAAAAAAUGGACAAAUAAAUAGAAAUGAAAAGAGUAUUUAUUAAUGAAAGAUCACGCUUUCACACGUUAUGUCAUAGAAAUAAUUUUGAUACAAUUAAAAUGUACAUGUUUAGAAAUUUCAUAGAGAUUCUAUAGAUUAUAAUAGUUAACAAUUAAAUAUAGUUAAAAAAAUAGAUCUAAAAAAAUUGUUUUUAAAUUCUCAAAUAAUAACCAAGACAUAUAAAUCAAAUCAUAUCCACAUCAAUGAUGCAAAUUUUAAUAAAGUAUUCACAUGUAAUGCUGUUAAUUAAUUAAUUAUAUGAUCGAUGUGCAAGAAGAGUUGACUUCUUGUACAAGAUAUUCUCCAACUGAAAAGAAUAUUGUUGGUACGUGUGGAUAAUUGUUACAAUUUAAACGAUUGAAUCGUGUGGACACCUACUUUAUUUUUUAAAUAGGAGAAUCUUUACUAUUUACGGAAUUAAAAUUAAAUUCGAAUCAUCACUUAUUUAAUUAAGAAUAAAGCUAUAAUUUAUCAACUUAGAAAAUUACAUGGUCUUUGAAAAACAUUUGAAUUUCUGUUUAGGAACUAGUCUAAACAGGUACAAAAUUUUUUAAGAGAGUAUAACAUUCUUUUUUAAUUUUUUUUUAUAAUUAUGUAUUGGAUAUUUAUAUUGUAAUUUGAUGAAAUUUGAAUUCACACAUUGCUGAAAACACUUGUUUUUGGGUAGAGCUCUAAUAGGAUUUUUUUUGAAUUCCUAGAAGUAAAAAUCUGAUAUCCUUGAUUAAAAAUGUAAAAUUUCAAAUCAUUCCAUCGCAAUUCAUACUAAUUCUCGAUAUAAUUAAUUCUUUUUCCGAAUAUUAGAUUAUUUAUUGAUAACAGUUUUAAAAAAAUAAAUUAAGCCAUUACCAAAGUUGUGAACCCUUAAUGUGAGGGGUUAGGCUUGACUCUGACUAUGUCUAUUAAUUAAAAAAAAAAGGCGUUGGUUAUACUAGUUAUAAUCAAUUUCAAUAAUAUCUUCUAUUGAAAUAAUAAUUCAAAAAUUGGGAUAAAAUAAAAUUAUUAAAUAAUUUCUAUCUUCCUCCACGGUGCUGAAUCUUUAAUUGGACACUAUAAUUAAGUCCUAAUUAUUAGGAUCCUAAUAUCUCGUUUCAUAUCCUUGACGACAUAAUUUAAGUUUUAAAUAUAUUGAAAAUAAAUUAUACAAAUUUUGAGUAGUUCUAUUGGCAAAAAAAUUAAUAAUAUUUCUUGAUAAUUGAUAUGGUCCUAUGUAGGGCAAAAAUAUUGGAAAAUCGAAUCGAACUAGUUUGGUUCUUAGAUUUUUUGGUUCAGUGCUUGUAUUUUUUUGAGAAAAUGGCCAAAUGAUCCCCCAACGUAUUACCGGAUUUCCAACUACACACCUAUUCUCCGUGGGAGUCCUAUUCCCCCCCUGAACUACUUUUAAAUGGAAUAAAUAACCCCUUAAGUGUUGAGUUGGCAUGAAGAGUGUAUUUCACUCUCUUUUGAGAGAGUGAGUUGCCUAUUAUUUUUUUUAAUUUUCCAUUUUUUUUCUUAAUUUUCUUUUUUCUUUCUCUUUCUUCUUAUUUAUCUAUACAAAACAUUUUUUCACCAUUAUCAUUGUUGAAACUUUUUCAAUGGAUGUUUGAAAUAAAAAUUAUCAACAACAAUGCAUUUAAUGAAUAAAUAAUUUUUCAAUAAACUUAUUUAGAACAUAUCUAACAAAUUUUUUUUUCUUUUUAAAAAAAACAUACCCAUUAAUUAACUUUUUUUAAAGUGAUGGAUUCAAGAGUAACAAAAUCAAAGUGAAGUAGUUGUAUAUUUAAAAAAUAUUUUCAAACUUAAUAAAAGAAACUAUAACAAAACAAUUUCUUCUACAUUUUGAAAGAAGGAUCCUACAUGUUCUCCUAAAAUCCAUGAAGAAUCAAAAUCAAAAACUCAAAUUAUAAAUUAAUCAUGAAAAUUUUAGAGGGGGAAAUAAUAAAGAAUGGAGAAGAGAGAGAGAGAGAGGGGUUUCUCAAAUUGGUGUUACAAAUUGAUCUUCUCAUAUGCGAUUAUUUUGAGUUGUUGGUGGAAUCUUCAAGGGAUGAAUCUGAUCUCGAAUGUUCAUGACCCAUUUAAUGUGUAUCUGAAAUUGUCUAAGGAAGAAAAUCGAACGAAAUGUAAAAAAAUGUGGAAAAUUGUUGAAUUAGUUGGAUGAAAGAUUUGAUUAAUUAGGAUCGCUAUCUUCUAGACUCUAGAGAUUCGGAGUAGAUGAAAAGGUGAGUUGAAUUUUCGUUUUUAUAAAAUGUUAGAGAUAUAGAAAUUUAUUGAGGUAAAAAAUGGUGUUUAAUAUAGUUAGGGUUGAAAAAAUGAUUGGGGAAGAAAGAAAGAAGAAGAAUGAGAAUUUUUUUUAAAAAAAAAUCAUUAAAUGGUGAAAGACACAUGUCAAGUGCGUGUAUUUCACCAUAAGACAGAUGCCUAGUAAUGACAUUUCAGGGAGGAAAUUGUCACGCCCUAAGCCUACACCCCGGACGUGGCCCGCACUCGAAGACCAUUGCUGGCCCCAAGCGAACCCUUGGUCUGGCUUUCUUAACUCAGCGGAAACCUAACUCAACAAAAUAACUCCAUGCAAUGCAAGGACAUAAAAACAACUUAACUGAUAAAAUAUGGCCCAAAAAGGCAACUUGGAUCUCAAAAUAGAAUAUUUACAUAUAUACAUAGAUGAGAGAUUCAAUGCUAACUGACUGACUGUCUAUGAAGCCUCUAAAAUACUAAGAUGAAUGUUGGGACAGACCCCGCAACAUCCUAACAAAACAAAACUAAGAACACAAAAUAACAGAGUCCUCCAGAAAACAAGGAGGCUCACCACUGACUCUGGAGUGCUUAGCUGGAUCAACGGCGUGCUGGAUGCUGAUCCUGGGUACCUGCGUCUGCAUCAUAAUAAGAUGCAGGUCAACUGGUAUCAUCAGUACAUGGAAUGUACAAGUAUGCGAGCUGGAAAGCUAAACAACAACUUAAGCUUGAGAGGAGUACAAAGGAACUCUUACCCUGGCUCUGUUCGACUCAUGGAUAACCGAACUCAAUAUAAAGCAAUAAGAUACAUGCAGUAUAUAUAAAACCUGUAAAACAAUGUAAACAACUUAGCUCAUUAAUGAUAAAACAAUAACAAACUUAACUUUACUUAUAUAAAGUUAUAUAACUUUUGUGGGAAAUUCUUUAACCGACAACCAGCACUAUGAGCCCUAGUGAUGAUACAACAUUUUACCUUAUGUUGCCUAAGGACCAUCCUAUACCUUGCCGUGAUAUAGGACCUUACUUUACUUAGUAGAUCCACUAGCUUAACUUACGUGAUCAUCUAAAAAGUAUGACCCGUUAAAUCCCAUGUUUGGCUACAUGGUUCUUAUAGAGAGUUGAGUUAAUAUGAACUCGUGUCCCCAAUUCGGUGCUCAAGACUACUCCCAAAAUAUACUUUAGCUCACAAGUGUUUUAAACACAUCUUUCUUUAGUUUGAGAUAAUUGCUCAAAGCUUAGCCCAAAGGCUCUCUUGGAAAGCAUAGUUCCUUUCUUACUCAAAUGUAAAACAUUUAUAAAUUUCUUUGGGAAUACUUCGUUCCCUAAUAACUUUAGUCUUUACUUAACUUGAAACUUGAGCCUUAAAACGAAGUUAAAACGUUUAACAAAGACUCUUAGAAAACUUUAAAGACUUGCUUAGACUUACUUCUUAACUUCUAAGAUUGACUCUAACUUCACUUGACUUUGAUCCAAACUUUCCUCGAAUUGGAUUAUGAAUUCAAGGGUAAUGAUCUCAUGUUUGUGGAUGAGUUCUUGACGUUUAGACGUACCUUGGAGUGUUGAAAACAACUAUAAAACAUAGGUACAUUACCAAGGCACAUUCAUGAAAAAGUGGGGAAUAAAAGGGAGGACUUGGCGUCCUUGGCGCUCUGAGAGGCGCGGAGCGCCAGACUUCAGACUUCAGAGAGGCCUGCUGGGCGCUCUGCUAGGCGCACCGCCCCAAGGGCUGGACUUCAGAGUCCCUUUUGGGGCGCGCUGGCCAGCGCGACACCCCAACCCUUUUUCCCAAAAACUCGACUUUUCUCCUUAAUUUCUCCAACUCUAAACCUUCUAAACUUCCAAGUUUCCAGUCCCAAACACUUAGAAUCAUAAAUCCUCUUACUAUACAAUAGAUUCAACUCAGAAUUUCAACCGGAAACAUGAACCAAGACAACAAGAAAACUUCAACAACACAACCAAUCUUUUCUCGGAAUUAAAAACGAGUUUGGCGUGUGGGGGAAAGAACCAACCCAACACUAUGAUCUCAGAUACCUUAAUAGGGAUCACCCCCGAUGAAACCACGACGAUCUUUCUUUGCUUGUUCUUCUCUUUCUCCUCUUCACUCACAAACCCUCACUCUCACUCUUUUAAAAGGGAAAAACUGAUCUAAAAAUCUGUCUAAACCCUUAAUAUAACCAAAAGAAUUGGUUAGGGAAAAGACCAAAAUACCCUUACAAAUUCGGGUGACUUCUCUAUGCCAACAACCCAACUUUCGAAGGGCAUAACUCACUCAUACGAACUUGGAAUCGAGAAAACUCGGUGGCAUUGGAAAGACCAUUCCACAAACUUUGCAAACAUAACUGGAACUACACCUAAAUCAUCCUGAUCUAGGAGUUAUGACUAUUCAAAGUUGACCAAAAUAUCACUUUUUCCCAUACUUAACCAAAUUUUCCAGAUUUUUAAAUUCUAUCCAAAAAUGACUAUUUUCGAGUUUUAAGCUUCUUCCUAGUUAUCAACGUGCAGAUGUCACAAUAUCUCCCCCUUGGGAACAUUCGUCCUCGAAUGAGGUUACUCUUACAAGGAUAAGGGUGUAACAUCAAUUUAAACACCCAACAAGCAAUCAUGCAAACAACAACAACAACAAUAUGCUCACUACAAAUUAAAGAGCACUAAGAAGGAAAUUAGUACCUUGAUCUGCAUUUCCAUCAGAUUCAAAAAGAUAUGGGUAUCUCUACUUCAUGUCCUUUUCGGCUUCCCAAGUAGCUUUCUCAACAAAUUGGUUCCUCCAAAGGACCUUGACUGAGGCUAUAUCCUUUGUUCUCAAUCUGCGAACUUGGUGAUCUAGAAUUUGAACAAGAAUCUCCUCAUAAGAAAAGUUAUCCGUGAUCCUAAUAUUCUCAGUAGGCAGGAUCAAUGAAGGAUCGCAUAUUCACUUCUUCAACAUGGAGAUGUGAAAUACCGGAUGAACCGCUGCUAGUUCCUGUGGUAACUCCAACUCAUAAGCAACAUUGUCAAUCCUCUUGGCUAUGCAGUAAGGUCCAAUAUACCGGGGACUAAGUUUCCCCUUCUUACCAAACCUCAUAACCCCUUUCAUGGGUGAAACUUUCAAAUACACCCAAUCAUAUACUUCAAACUCUAAUGCCCUUCUCCUAACAUCUGUGUAGGAUUUUUGACGACUUACUCAGUCUGAGGAUUAAAGGCAGUACUUAAGUUCACCUUGGAACCCAAGCCCUUCUGAAAAGAUUUUCAGAACUGUGUAGUAAACUGUGCACCUCUAUCUGAAAUAAUAGAGAUUGGCACCCCAUGAAGUCUCACUAUCUCUUGAAUAUAUAACUUGGCAUAAUUUUCUGCUGAAAGGGUAGUCUUUACCGGUAGAAAAUGGGCGGAUUUUAUCAUUCUGUCGACAAUCACCCAAAUAGAAUCAUAUUGUCUACCAGACCUUGGCAACCCUGUGAUGAAAUCCAUAUUGAUCAUCUCCUACUUCCAUUCCGAAAGUUCUAUCCUCUGAUCCAAACCACCGGGCCUUUGGUGUUCAACUUUCACUUGUUGGCAAUUUGGACAUUUAGCAACAAAUUCAGCAAUGCCCUUCUUCAUGCCAUUCCACCAAUAAACUUCUCUCAAGUCUCGAUACAUCUUUGUGGAACCCGGAUGAAUGGAAUAUCUGGAGCUAUGGGCUUCUUUCAUAAUCCUCUCUUGGAGUCCAUCUACCAUAGGUACGCACAAUCUACCUUGAUAUCUCAAACAUCAUCUCCCCCUUGUUCAAAAUCUAAUACUCUUUGCUUUUGAACAUUUGCCUUCAACUCAAGAAAAAUGGGAUCUUGAUCUUGUUUCUCUUUCACUUCUGACACUAAUGAUGACUCGGACCCACUCGCCACCACUAUUCCUCCAUAAUGGUGCACAUCUUUUGCUAACUCUCUCUUUCCUUCUUCAAUAUGGGCGGUGAUACCCAUAGACAACCUGCUUAAAGAAUCAGCAACAACAUUAGCCUUACCUGGGUGGUAAAGAAUACUCAGGUCAUAAUCCUUGAGUAAUUCUAACCACUUCCUUUGUCUGAGAUUAAGCAUAUAUUGAAGACUCUUGUGAUCAGUGAAUAUAUCAACAUGCACACCAUACAAGUAAUGACACCAUAUCUUCAAAGCGAACACUACAGGAGCCAACUCUAAGUCAUGGGUUGGGUAAUUCAUCUCAUGAACUUUCAACUGUCUCGAGGCAUAAGCUAUAACCUUGUCGUUAUGCAUCAAUACACAACUCAAACCAACUCUAGAUGCAUCACAAUACACCACAAAGCCUUGUGUACCUUCUAGUAAGGUCAAUACUGGGCAGUAGUUAACCUCUUUUUCAAUUCCUGAAAGCUUAGCAGCCAGCUCUAAGUCAUGGGUUGGGUAGUUUUUCUCAUGAACCUUCAACUGUCUGGAGGCAUAAACUAUAACCUUGCCAUUCUGCAUUAAUACACAACCCAAACCAACUCUAGAUGCAUCACAAUACACCACAAAACCUUGAGUACCUUCUGGUAAGGUCAAAUUUGGAGCAGUAAUCAACCUCUUUUUCAAUUCCUGAAACCUUUUCUCACAAGCUUUAGACCAUUGAAAUUUCACUGUCUUAUAAGUCAAUUUGGUCAAAGGAGAUGCAAUAGACGAGAACCCCUCUACAAACCUUCUAUAAUAGCCAGCUAAACCCAAGAAACUCCUAAUAUCAGUUGGAGAUGUGGGUCUAGGACAAUUUUGCACUGCCUCAAUUUUCUGAGUAUCAACUUUAAUUCCAUCACCAGACACAAUGUGGCCUAAGAAUGCCACGGACUCAAGCCAAAACUCACACUCGGAGAACAUGGCAUACAACUCUUUAUCUUUCAAAGUCUGAAGAACAAUUCUGAGGUGACUAGCAUGAUCUUCUUCAUUUCUUGAAUAGAUUAGUAUGUCAUCAAUGAAGACGAUAACAAACAUAUCUAAAUAAGGUUUGAAGACUCUAUUCAUAAGGUCCAUGAAAGUUGCUGGUGCAUUGGUCAAACCAAAAGACAUGACCAAAAACUCAUAAUGACCAUAUCUAGUCCUGAAUAUUGUAUUUGGAAUAUCACAUUCCCUUACUCUUAAUUGAUGAUAAACCGAUCUGAGGUCAAUUUUCGAAAAAUAAGUGGCACCCUGAAGCUGAUCGAAAAGAUCGUCAAUCCUCGAAAGAGGGUACUUAUUAUUGAUUGUAACCUUAUUCAUCUGACGAUAGUCUAUACACAUUCUAAGGGAACCAUCUUUCUUUCUCAUAGAUAAGACCGGAGCGCCCCAAGGUGAGACACUUGGUCGAAUGAAACCCUUAUCUAAGAGAUCUUUCAACUCUACUGGUGCCAUUCUAUAAGGCGGAAUAGAGAUCGGAUGAGUAUCUAGAAUGAGGUCUAUGCUGAAAUCUAUUUCUCUCUCAAGAGGAAUUUCGGGUAGGUCAUUAGGAAAAACUUCUAGAAUCUCUCUUACUAUAGGAACUUACUGAAAAUGAGGUAUGUCAACACUAGAGUCAUUAACUCGGACUAAGUGAUAGAUACAACCCUACGAAACUAACUUUAUCGCCUUAAGGUACAAAAUGAAACGACCCUUAGGUGCUGAACUACAACUCCACUCUAUGACUGGCUCAUUCGAAAACUGAAACUUGACCACUCGAGUUAUAUAGUCUAAUGAUGCAUAACAGGCAUGAAGCCAAUCCAUACCUAAAAUGACAUCAAAAUCUACCAUGUUUAACUCAACCAAAUCAGCCAUGGUGUUCUUGUGAUUGAUCGAAAAAGGACAAUCACGAUAAACUCUUUCUGCUAGAAUAGACUCCCGGACAGGUGUAGAAACACAAAAGGGUUCACAAAGUCUUUCAGGAAGAACAUCAAACUUACUUGCAACAUAAGGAGUUACAAAAGAUAAACUUGCUCCUGGGUCUGGCAAAGCAUACAUACCAAAAGCAAAGACUUUGAUCAUACCAGUGACAACAUUUGGAGAGUUCUCUUGCUCAUGGCGACUGGUGAUUACAUAGAGGCGGUUUACUCUUCCACCGGUACCAGAAGUAGCUCCUCUAGGUGCUACCCUGUUUGGGGGAGCGAUUGAUGAAGAUUGGGCCCUACUGCCUAGAUUUCCACUACCUUGCUUAUCCUUAGGGCACUCCUUCAUGAAGUGACCCUCUUGCCCACACUUAAAACAACCUGUCUGACCAUCACGACAUUUACUCGGGUGGGUUCUACCACAUCUAGCACAUGCAAGAAUCAAGCUAUCUCUUUGUGCCACACUACCCGAAGAUUGUGCAGGUCUAGCCUUGAAGCCCUUUGAAUUUUGGCCAUUAUAUUCACCUCUAUAUCAGGGUGCAGGUGCCUUAGUAGAUGAUGUAGCAGGUCCCUUUUGCCUUUGCUGAAAGCAUGAACGAUUGGCAUUACAUUUCUGCUGCCCGGACUUAUUAUCGAUCUUAGCUCUUUUAUUUCUGAACUCUUCCCCGUCCCUCAGCUUUUCUUCCUCAACCUGAUGCACAUAAACCAUCAACCUUGAUAUGUCCAUGCCCCCGAUAAGCAUUGCCGCCCUACCUUCCUUACUCAAAAGACGAAACAACCCAGCUACAAACAAGCUCAUUCUACUCCUCAUGUCCGCAACCAUCUCCGGAGCAUAACGGGAGAGUUGAGUGAACUUCAACACAUACUCAUGAACACUCAAAGAAUCCCUCUUAAGCGUGAGGAACUCACGUACCUUGGCCUCUUUCAAUUCUCGAGGAAAGAAAUGCCCCAAGAAAGAUUCCUCAAAACAGGCCCAACUCGCAGGUGGUGUAUCCUCAGCUCUGCUCCCUUUUGCAUUGGUCGAACCGAGUUCUAGCAACAUCCUUCAAUUGAUAUGUAGCUAAUUCAACCUGUUCAGUGUCUACCACAAGCAUCGCAUCAAAAAUCUUUUUCAGUUCCUCAAUGAAGUUCUCUGGAUCUUCAGUAGUGUUCGAACCCAUGAAACUCUGAGGAUUCAUCCCCAAAAACUCACGAAUCCUUAAAGUGUCAUCUCCUUCAUGUCGAGCUCCCCUCUGCUGACCAAUCUGAUUAGUUACAGCUUGACUCAGUAUCAUCAUUGCUUCUCUAAACUCAGCAUUAGAAACUUCCUGUUGAUGUUGCACUCCCGGUGCAUAAGGUAACUCUUGCUCCUCAACAUAACGUCUAGGAAGACGCCUUCUGCCAACUCUUCGUAGAGGCAUGAUUAUCUGAAACAUGCACAAGCAUGAAUUAGAACGAAAAUUUUUAGAGAUGAGUGUGAAAGAAGUGAGAAAUCUUCCUAAAUGUUGCAACCUCCAAAUAAUAGAUGUCGCGCGGUUCACACCGAUAACUAGGACUCUACAGACAUGGCUUCAUAGACUCCCUAGGACUCUUGAACUCUGUGCUCUGAUACCAAGUUUAUCAUUCCUCGAGCCUACACCCCGGACAUGGCCGGCACUCGAAGACCAUUGCUGGCCCCAAGCGAACCCUUGGCCUGACUUUCUUAACUCAGCAGAAACCUAACUCAACAGAAUAACUCCAUGCAAUGCAAAGACAUAAAAACAACUUAACUGAUAAAAUCAGGCCCAAAAAGGCAACUCAGGUCUCAAAUUAGAAUAUUUACAUAUAUACAUAGAUGAGAGAUUCAAUGCUAACUGACUGACUGUCUAUGAAGCCUCUAAAAUACUGAGAUGGAUGUUGGGACAGACCCCGCAACAUCCUAACAAAACAAAACUAAGAACACAAAAUAGCAGAGUCCUCAGGAAAACAAGGAGGCUCACCACUGACUCUGGAGUGCUUAGCUGGAUCAACGGCGUGCUGGAUGCUGAUCCUGGGUACCUGCGUCUGCAUUAUAAUAAGAUGCAGGCUAACUGGCAUCAGUACAUUGAAUGUAUGAGUAUGUGAGAUGGAAAGCUAAACAACAACUUAUGCUUGAGAGGAGUACAAAGGAACUCUUACCCUGGUUCUGUUCGACUCAUGGAUAACCGAACUCAAUAUAAAGCAAUAAGAUACAUGCAAUAUAUAUAAAACUUGUAAAAACAUUGUAAACAACUUAGCUCGUUAAUGAUAAAACAAUAACAAACUCAACCUUACUUAUAUAAAAGUAAUAUAACUUUUGUGGGAGAUUCUUUAACCGACAAUCACCACUAUGAGCCCUAGUGAUGAUACAACGUUUUACCUCACGCUGCCCAAGGACAAUCCUAUACCUUUCCGUUAUAUAGGACCUUACUUAGUGGAUCCACUAGCUUAACUUACGUGAUCAUCUAAAAAGUAUGACCCGUUAAAUCCCAUGUUUGGCUACAUGGUUCUUAUGGAGAGUUGAGUUAAUAUGAACUCGUGUCCCCAAUUUGGUGCUCAAGACUGCUCCUAAAAUAUACUUUAUCUCACAAGUGUUUUAAACACAUCUUUCUUUAGUUUGAGAUAAUUGCUCAAAGCUUAGCCCAAAGCUCUCUUGGAAAACAUAGUUCCUUUCUUACUCAAAUGUAAAACAUUUUUAACUUCUUUGAGAAUACUUAGUUCCCUAAUAACUUUUGAGAAAUGAACAUGAUUCUACACUCUUGGCUUAACUUGAAACUCGAUAGUCUUUGCUUAACUUGAAACUCGAUACUCUUAACUUAACUUGAAACUUGAGCCUUAAAACGAAGUUAAAACGUUUAACAAAGACUCUUGAAAAACUUUAAAGACUUGCUUGGACUUACUUCUUAACUUCUAAAAUUGACUCUAACUUCACUUGACUUUGAUCCAAACUUUCCUCGAAUUGGAUUAUGAAUUCAAGGGUAAUGGUCUCAUAUUUAUGGAUGAGUUCUUGACGUUUAGACGUACCUUGGAGUGUUGAAAACAACUAUAAAACAUAGGUACAUUACCAAGGAACAUGCAUGAAAAAAUGGGGAAUAAAAGGGAGGACUUGGCUUCCUUGGCGCUUUGAGAGGCCCGGAGCGCCAGACUUCAGACUUCAGAGAGGCCUACUGGACGCUCUGCUAGGCGCGCCGCCCCAAGGGCUGGACUUCAGAGUCCCUUUUGGGGCACGCUGGCUGGCGCGACGUCCCAGCCCUUUUUCCCGAAAACUCAACUUUUCUUCUUAGUUUCUCCAACUCUAAACCUUCUAAACUUCCAAGUUUCCAGUCCUAAACACUUAGAAUCAUAAAUCCCCUUACUAUACAAUAGAUUCAACUCGGAAUUUCAACCGGAAACAUGAACCAAGACAACAAGAAACUUCAACAACAUAACUAACAACUUCAACAAACACAACCAACAACUUCAACAAACACAACCAAUCUUUUCUCGAAAUUAAAACGAGUUUGGAGUGUGGGGGAAAGAACCAACCCAACACUAUGAUCUCAUAUACCUUAAUAGGGAUCACCUCCGAUGAAAAACCACGACGAUCUUUCUUGCUUGUUCUUCUCGUUUUCCUCUUCACUCACAAACCCUCACUCUUACUCUUUUAAAAAGGGAAAAACUGAUCUAAAAAUCUGUCUAAACCCUUAAUAUAACCAAAAGAAUUGGUUAGGGAAAAGACCAAAAUACCCUUACAAAUUCGGGUGAUUUCUCUAUGCCAACAGCUCAACUUCCAAAGGGCAUAACUCACUCAAACGAACUCAGAAUCGAGUAAACUCGGUGGCGUUGGUAAGAACAUUCCACAAGCUUUGCAAACAUAACUGGAACUACACCUAAAUCAUCUUGAGCUAGGAGUUAUGACUAUUUAAAGUUGACCAAAAACUCACUUCUUCCCAUAGCCAAAUUUUCCAGGUUUUUAAAUUCUUUCCAAAAAUUACUAUUUCCGAUUUUUAAGCUUCUUCCUAGUUAUCAACGUGCAAGAUAUCACAAUAUCUUCCCCUUGGGAACAUUUGUCCUCGAAUGAGGUUACUCUUACAAGACUAAGGGUGUAACAUCAAUUCAAACACCCAACAAGCAAUCAUGCAAACAACAACAACAACAUGCUCACUACAAUUUAAAGAGCACUACGAAAGAAAUUAGUACCUUGAUCUGCAUUUCCUCCGAAUUCAAAGAGAUAUGGGUAUCUCUUCUUCAUGUCCUCUUUGGCUUCCCAAGUAGCUUCCUCAAUAAAUUGGUUCCUCCAAAGGACCUUGACUGAGGCUACCUCUUUCAUUCUNNNNNNNNNNNNNNNNNNNNNNNNNNNNNNNNNNNNNNNNNNNNNNNNNNNNNNNNNNNNNNNNNNNNNNNNNNNNNNNNNNNNNNNNNNNNNNNNNNNNNNNNNNNNNNNNNNNNNNNNNNNNNNNNNNNNNNNNNNNNNNNNNNNNNNNNNNNNNNNNNNNNNNNNNNNNNNNNNNNNNNNNNNNNNNNNNNNNNNNNNNNNNNNNNNNNNNNNNNNNNNNNNNNNNNNNNNNNNNNNNNNNNNNNNNNNNNNNNNNNNNNNNNNNNNNNNNNNNNNNNNNNNNNNNNNNNNNNNNNNNNNNNNNNNNNNNNNNNNNNNNNNNNNNNNNNNNNNNNNNNNNNNNNNNNNNNNNNNNNNNNNNNNNNNNNNNNNNNNNNNNNNNNNNNNNNNNNNNNNNNNNNNNNNNAAAGAGAUAUGGAUAUCUCUUCUUCAUGUCCUCUUCGGCUUCCCAAGUAGCUCCCUCAACUAGUUGGUUCCUCCAAAGGACCUUGACUGAGGCUAUAUCCUUUGUUCUCAAUCUGCGAACUUGGCGAUCUAGAAACUGAACAAGAAUCUCCUCAUAAGAUAAGUUAUCUGUGAUCCUAAUAUUCUCAGUAGGUAGUAGCAAUGAAGGAUCGCCUAAGCACUUCUUCAACAUGGAGAUGUGAAAUACCGGAUGAACCGUUGCUAGUUCCUGUGGCAAUUCCAACUCAUAAGCAACAUUGCCAAUCCUUUUGGCUAUGCGGUAAGGUCCAAUAUACAGGGGACUAAGUUUCCCCUUCUUACCAAACCUCAUAACCCCCCACAUGGGUGAAACUUUCAAAUACACCCAAUCAUUUACCUCAAACUCUAAUGCCCUUCUCCUAACAUUUGUGUAGGAUUUUUGACGACUCUGUGCCAUUUUGAACCUCUCUUGAAUCACUUUCACCUUCUCCAUAGAUUGGUGAACUAAAUCUGGUCCUAUCAACCCUGCUUUACCAACUUCAAAUCAUCCAAUAGGAGAUCUACAUCUUCUCCCAUAAAGAGCUUCAUAUGGAGCUAUCUUGGAUGCUAGAGUGAUAACUAUUAUUGUAGGCAAACUGAAUGAGAGGUAGGUGAUCAUCCCGACUCCAUUUGAAAUCGCUUACAUAGGCCCUCAACAUAUCUUCUAAAGUCUGAAUAGUGCGCUCUGCUUGCCCAUCAGUCUGAGGAUGAAAUGCAGUACUUAAGUUCACCUUGGAAUCCAAGUCCUUCUGAGAAAAAUUUCAGAACUGUGCAGUAAACUGUGCACCUCUAUCUAAAAUAAUGGAGAUUGGCACCCAAUGAAGUCUCACUAUCACUUGAAUAUAUAACUUGGCAUAAUCUUCUGCUGAAAGGGUAGUCUUUACUGGUAGAAAAUGGGCUUAUUUUAUCAUUCUAUCGACAAUCACCCAAAUAGAAUCAUGUUGUCUACGAGACCUUGGCAACCCUGUGAUGAAAUCCAUAUUGAUCAUCUCCCAAUUCCAUUCCGGAAGUUCUAUCCUCUUAGCCAAACCACCAGGCAUUUGGUGUUCAACUUUCACUUGCUGGCAAUUUGGACAUUUAACAACAAAUUCAGCAAUGCCCUUCUUCAUGCCAUUCCACCAAUAAACUUCUCUCAAGUCUCGAUACAUCUUUGUGGAACCCGGACGAAUGGAAUAACUGGAGCUAUGAGCUUCUUCCAUAAUCCUCUCUUGGAGUCCAUCUACCAUAGGUACACACAAUCUACUUGAUAUCUCAAAACACCAUCUCCCCCUUGCUCAAAAGCUAAUACUCUUUGGUUUCGAACAUUUGCCUUCAACUUAAGCAAAAUGGGAUCUUGAUCUUAUUUCUCUUUCACUUCUAACACUAAUGAUGACUCGGUCCCACUGCUAUUCCUCCUUCUGCGGAAUCUAAAAGUCUGACUCCCAAGCGUGCCAGUCUGUGCACAUCUUUUGCUAACUCUCCAUUUCCUUCUUCAAUAUGGGCAGUGCUACCCAUAGACAACCUGCUCAAAGAAUCAACAAUAACAUUAGCCUUACCUGGGUGGUAAAGAAUACUCAUGUCAUAAUCCUUGAGUAAUUCUAACCACUUCCUUUGUUUGAGAUUAAGCACUAUAACUUCAAAUCGAACACUACAUCAGCCAACUCUAAGUCAUGGGAUGGGUAGUUCUUCUCUUAAUCUUCAAUUGUCUGGAGGCAUAAGCUAUAACCUUGCCAUUCUGCAUUAAGUCACAACCCAAACCAACUAUAGAUGCAUCAUAAUACACCACAAAACCUUGAGUACUUUCUGGUAAGGUCAAAAUUGGAGCAGUAAUCAACCUCUUUUUCAAUUCCUGAAAGCUUUUCUCACAAGCUUCAGACCAUUGAAACUUAACUGUAUUCUGAGUCAAUUUGGUCAAAGGGGACGAAAUAGACAAGAACCCCUCUAUGAACCUUCUAUAAUAUUCAGCCAAACCCAAAAAACUCCUAAUAUCAGUUGGAGAUGUGGGUCUAGGCCAAUUCUGCACUGCCUUAAUUUUCUGAGUAUCAACUUUAAUUCCAUCACCAGAUACAAUUUGGCCUAGGAAUGCCACAGCAUAAGGUCCAUGAGAGUUGCUGGUGCAUUGGUCAAACCAAAAGACAUGACCAAAAACUCGUAACGACCAUAUCUAGUCCUGAAUGCUGCCGUUCGAAUAUCACAUUCCCUUACUCUUAAUUGAUGAUAGCCCGAUCUAAGGUCAAUUUUUGAAAAACAAGUGGCACCCUGAAGCUGAUCAAAAAGAUCGUCAAUCCUCGGAAGAGGGUACUUAUUCUUGAUGGUAACCUUGUUCAACUGGCGGUAGUCUAUACACAUCCAAAGGGAACCAUCUUUCUUUCUCACAAACAAGACCAAAGCGCCCCAAGGUGAAACUCUUGGUCGAAUGAAACCCUUAUCUAGGAGAUCUUUCAACUGCUCUUUCAAGUCUGCUGGUGCCAUUCUAUAAGGCGUUAUAGAGAUAGGACGAGUAUCUGGAAUGAGGUCUAUGCUGAAAUUUAUUUCUCUCUCAGGAGGAAUUACGAGUUGUUCAUCAAGAAAAACUUCUGGAAACUCUCUUACUAUAGGAACUGACUGAAAAUGAGGUAUCUCAACACUAGAGUCAUUAACUCGGACUAAGUGAUAGAUACAACCCUUCGAAACUAACUUUCUUGCCUUAAUGUACAAAAUGAAACGACCCUUAGGCACUGCUGAACUACAACUCCACUCUAUGACUGGCUCAUUCGGAAACUGAAACUUGACCACUCGAGUUCUACAGUAUAAUGAUGCAUAACAGGCAUGAAGCCAAUCCAUACCUAAAAUGACAUCGAAAUCUACCAUGUCUAACUCAACCAAAUCGGCCAUGGUGCUCUUGUGAUUGAUAUAAACAGGACAAUCAUGACAAACUCUUUCUGCUAGAAUAGACUCCCCAACAGGUGUAGAAACACAAAAGGGUUCACAAAGUCUUUUAGGAAGAACAUCAAAAUUAUUUGCAACAUAAGGAGUUACAAAAGAUAAACUUGCUCCUGGGUCUUGCAAAACAUACACAUCAAAAGCAAAGACUUUGAUCAUACCAGUGACAACAUUUGGAAAGUUCUCUUACUCAUGGCGACUGGUGAUUACAUAGAGGAUUGCAUAGAGGCGGUUUACUCCUCCACCGGUACCAGAAGUAGCUUCUCUAGGUGCCACCCUGUCUGAGGGAGCAAUUGAUGAAGAUUGGGCCCUACUGCCCAGAUUUCCACUACCUUGCUUAUCUUUCGGGCACUCCUUCAUAAAGUGACCCUCUUGCCCACGCUUAAAACAACCUGACCAUCACGACAUUUACCCGGGUGGGUUCUACCACAUCUAGCACAAGCAGGAAUCAAGCUAUCUCCUUGUGCCACACUACCUGAAUAUUGUGCUGGUCUAGCCUUGAAGCCCUUCGAAUUCUGGCCAUUAUAUUCACCUCUGUAUCUUGGUGCAGGUGCCCCAGCAGAUGAUGGAGCAGGUCCCUUUUGCCUUUGCUGAAAAGAUGAACGGUUUGCAUUACCUUUCUGCUGCCCAAACUCAUUACCGAUCUUAGCUCUCUUAUUUCUGAACUCUUCCCAGUCCCUCAGCUUCUCUUCCUCAACCUGCAGCACAUAAACCAUCAACCUUGAUAUGUCCAUGUCCCCAAUAAGCAUUGCAGCCCUACCUUCCUUACUCGACAGACGAGACAACCCAGAUACAAACAAGUUCAUUCUACUCCUCAUGUCCGCAACCAUCUCCUGAGCAUAACGGGAGAGUUAGGUGAACUUCAACCCAUACUCAUGAACACUCAAAGAAUCCUGCUUAGGCGUGAGGAACUCACGUACCUUGGCCUCUUUCAAUUCUCGAGGAAAGAAACGCCCCAAGAAAGCUUCCUCAAAACAGGCUCAACUCACAGGUGGUGCAUCCUCAGCUCUGCUCCCUUUCCACUGGUUGAACCAAGUUCUAGCAACAUCCUUCAAUCAAUACGUAGCUAAUUCAAACCACUCAGUUUCAUCCACAUACAUCACAUCAAAAAUCUUCUUCAGCUCUUUAAUGAAGUUCUCUGGAUCCUCAGUAGUGCACUAACCUAUGAAACCCUAAGGAUUCAUCCCCAAGAACUCACGAAUCCUUGAAGUGUUAGCUCCUUCAUCUCGAGCUCCCCUUUGCUGACCAAUCUGAUUAGUUCCAGCUUGACUCAGUAUCCUAAUUGCUUCUCUAAACUCAGCAUUAGAAACUUCCCCUUGAUGUUGCACUCCCAGUGCAUAAUGUAACUCUUGCUCCUCAACAUAACGUCUAGGAAUACGCCCUCUGCCAACUCUUCGUAAAGGCAUGAUUAUCUGAAACACAAGCAAGUAUGAAUUAGAAAGAAACUUUUUAGAGAUAAACUUUAACGCACGAGAUGAGUGUGAAAGAAGUGAGAAAUCUUCCUAAAUGUUGUAACCUCCAAAUUAUAGAUGUGGCGCGCUUCACACCGAUAACUAGGACUCUACAGACACGGCUUCAUAGACUCCCUAGGACUCUUAAACUUUGUGCUCUGAUACCAAGUUUGUCACACACCGAGCCUACAUUCCGGACGUGGCCGGCACUCGAAGACCAUUGAUGGCCCCAACCGAACCCUUGGCCUGACUUUCUUAACUUAGCGGAAACCUAACUCAACAGAAUAACUCCAUGCAAUGCAAGGAUAUAAAAACAACUUAACUGAUAAAAUCUUGCCCAAAAAGGCAACUCGGGUCUCAAAAUAGAAUAUUUACAUAUAUACAUAGAUAAGAGACUCAAUGCUAACUAACUGACUGUCUAUGAAGCCUCUAAAAUACUGAGAUGGAUGUUGGGACAGACCCCGCAACAUCCUAACAAAACAAAACUAAGAACACAAAAUAACAGAGUCCUCUAGAAAACAAGGAGGCUCACCACUGACUCUGGAGUGCUCAGCUAGAUCAACGGCGUGCUGGAUGCUGAUCUUGGGUACUUGUGUCUGCAUCAUAAUAAGAUGCAGGCCAACUGGCAUCAGUACAUUGAAUGUACGAGUAUGUGAGCUGGAAAACUAAAUAAUAACUUAAGCUUGAGAGGAGUACAAAGGAACUCUUACCCUAGCUCUGUUCGACUCAUGCAUAACCGAACUCAAUAUAAAGCAAUAAGAUACAUGCAAUAUAUAUAAAACUUGUAAAAUAUUGUAAACAACUUAGCUCGUUAAUGAUAAAACAAUAACAAACUCAACUUUACUUAUAUAUAAGUAAUAUAACUUUUGUAGGUGAUUCUUUAACCGGCAACCACCACUAUGAGCCCUAGUGAUGAUACAACGUUUUGCCUCACGUUGCCCAAGGACCAUCCUAUACCUUGCCGUGAUAUAGGACCUUACUUAGUGGAUCCACUAGCUUAACUUACGUGAUCAUCUAAAAAGUAUGACCCGUUAAAUCCCAUGUUUGGCUACAUGGUUCUUAUGGAGAGUUGAGUUAAUAUGAACUCGUGUCCCCAAUUUGGUGCUCAAGACUACUCCUAAAAUAUACUUUAGCUCGCAAGUGUUUUAAGCACAUCUUUCUUUAGUUUGAGAUAAUUGCUCAAAGCUUAGCCUAAAGGCUCUCUUGGAAAACAUAGUUCCUUUCUUACUCAAAUGUAAAACAUUUAUAAACUUCUUUGGGAAUACUUAGUUCCCUAAUAACUUUUGAGAAAUGAACUUGACUCUACACUCUUGACUUAACUUGAAACUCGAUAGUCUUUGCUUAACUUGAAACUUGAUACUCUUUACUUAACUUGAAACUUGAGCCUUAAAACGAAGUUAAAACGUAUAACAAAGACUCUUGAAAAACUUUAAAGACUUGCUUGGACUUACUUCUUAACUUCUAAAAUUGACUCUAACUUCACUUGACUUUGAUCCAAACUUUCCUCGAAUUGGAUUAUGAAUUCAAGGGUAAUGAUCUCAUGUUUAUGGAUGAGUUCUUGACAUUUAGACGUACCUUGGAGUGUUGAAAACAACUAUAAAACAUAGGUACAUUACCAAGGAACAUGCAUGAAAAAAUGGGGAAUGAAAGGGAGGACUUGGCUUCCUUGGCGCUUUAAGAGGCCCGGAGCGCUAGACUUCAGACUUCAGAGAGGCCUGCUGGAUGCUCUGCUAGGCGCGCCGCCCCAAGGGCUGGACUUCAAAGUCCCUUUUGGGGCGCGCUGGCCGGCGCGACGCCAAAGCCCUUUUCCCCGAAAACUCGACUUUUCUCCUUAGUUUCUCCAACUCUAAACCUUCUAAACUUCCAAGUUUCCAGUCCCAAGCACUUAGAAUCAUAAAUCCCCUUACUAUACAAUAGAUUCAACUCGGAAUUCAACCGGAAACAUGACCCAAGACAACAAGAAACUUCAACAACACAACCAACAACUUCAACAAACACAACCAAUCUUUUCUCGGAAUUAAACGAGUUUGGCGUGUGGGGGAANNNNNNNNNNNNNNNNNNNNNNNNNNNNNNNNNNNNNNNNNNNNNNNNNNNNNNNNNAAACGAGUUUGGCGUGUGGGGGAAAGAACCAACCCAAUUCUAUGAUCUCACAUACCUUAAUAGGGAUCACCCCCGACGAAAACCACGACGAUCUUCCUUGCUUGUUCUUCUCUUUCUCCUCUUCACUCACAAACCCUCACUCUCACUCUUUUAAAAAGGGAAAAACUGAUCUAAAAAUCAGUCUAAAUCCUUAAUAUAACCAAAAGAAUUGGUUAGGGAAAAGACCAAAAUACCCUUACAAAUUCGGGUGACUUCUCUAUUCCAACAGCCCAACUUCCGAAGGGCAUACCGCACUCAUACGAACUCAAAAUCGAGCAAACUCGGCGGCAUUGGAAAGACCAUUCCACAAACUUUGCAAACACAAAUGGAACUACACCUAAAUCAUCCUGAGCUAGGAGUUAUGACUAUUUAAAGUUGACCAAAAACUCACUUUUUCCCAUAUUUAACCAAAUUUUCUAGAUUUUUAAAUUCUUUCCAAAAAUAACUAUUUCCGAUUUUUAAGCUUCUUCCUAGUUAUCAACGUGCAAGAUGUCAUAGAAAUAAUUCCACUUUAAAAUAGCUCAGGGGGUAAUAGGACCCCUGUGAAGUAUAAGUGUGUAGUUGGAAAUCCGGUUAUAGAUUGGGGGGUCAUUUGGCCAUUUUCUUUAUUUUUGCUAUGUCAAAGGUUCAAUUCUUCGAUUUGGUGUAAUAAUCUCAAAACUUUGUGCAUCAAAGAAUCGAAUUGACAAAUAUGAAUUUUUAAGCAUAAGUGUUCCAUGAUAACAUCGAUCCACCACUAGUCCUAUGUUUAUAUAUAGUGAAAAUUAACUUAUCUACCAAUAUGGGUUAUGGUGAGGCUAUUUCACCAUUAACCAGAGGUCUUGAGUUUGAGCCCUAGAUAUAGAAAAAAUCAUGUUAGGAGCGCCACCCCAGAAUGGGCCCAAUAGAGCGCGAUCCAAAUUAAGCUGGAGCUCUAAUGUGGGCUCCGAACAUUGGAUAGGAAACAAAAAUAAAACAUAUCUUAGAUGCUUAAUUUUUUUAUUUUUUUAUUGGUUUUCCACCUAGUCCCGUUUGAUAUAAAGGCUUUAGCUUUGUUGUAUUGGUCCUAUUUUAAAAUUUGAAUCUAGUAGUUUUAAAUAAAAAGAUUUAUCAAAUGUAUUAAAAUAUCCUCUAAUCUUAUAAUCUUAAAGAUGACAUGUGAAAAGUUGAACUUAAAAAGUUAUUAAAAAGUGAAACAUUCUUUUUGAAGUAAUUUUUUUUUUAGGAUAAACAAAUUAAAACAAACGAAAUAAUAAUUAUGAGCCAACAAUUGACCAAAAAGGUAAUCAAAAUUGCUUCAUAUGCAAAGAACUAAUCAGAGAUCAAAGAAAUAAUGACUAAUAAUUUAUUUAUAAACUAAUUUAAAAGAGCAAAAAAUUUAAAAAUACAAAAAAUCAGUAAAAUAUUCACAUGUUUGACCAAGAAACCCAUGAUAAAAGGAAGACAUGUAAAAAUGGGUAGAUUGCAAUUACAACAACAUAAGUACAUUGAAUUUUAAUGGAAAGAAAUCACUGUCAGAAUUUUCAUCUUAUUAGUGAGCGUUUGAUUUUCGACCCCCCUAUAAUUCCCCUCGACCCAAUUAAAAAAAAUACAUGACUUGAAUCUUUAGGGAUUUUUGAAGUUCUUGAAAUAAGUUUUCUAACGAGUUAUACCAAUAUGUAUAGUCAACACAAAUUAUUUUCAACAAAAUCACUGCAUGUUUGUAAUGGAUCGAUAUUAUUUAAAUGAUAUAUAAUUGUAUAUAGAUAAUGUAUAACUAUGUAUCAGAGAUGAAUAUGCACCUAAAUAAUAGUAAGUACUCUCUGUCAGUUCAUUUUAUGUAAGACACAAAUUGAUUAAAAAUAAAUAAGACUUUUUAAAUUGCAACUAAGGAGUUACUGAUUAUAAAUAGUGAUUUUUUUAAAAAAAAAAUUAAAACAAACUAAACAUAAAAGUAAGACACAAAUUGAAACAUGGGAAGUAAUAUAAUAGUUAACAAUAUAAUUAGAUGAGAAAAAAAAGGUAAGGAUGAGAAUGUUCCACCAAAUUAAUCAUUACAUAAAAUAAGCAUUCUUAGCAUUAACGAAUAGGGGAUUUAACAAUAUAAUAAAUAUUAAUAACAAUCAAAAUAAAUAUUAUAUUUAAAUACAAAAGAUAUAGUAUACAUGCAAUACAAUAGGUAUGAACCAUCCAAACAACAUGUAAAGCAAAGUAGAAAAACUAGAACAUUUUAGUGGCUUCAAAAACAAGCAAACCUACAAAUUGAACUUGAUCUAGUAAUGUGAGCAAUGACAGAAUCCAUCUCUCUUAGAAUCCCCACCAAGAGUGAUGGAUUGUCUCACUUUUUUACUUAAUUCAACCAUAUUCAUCCUCACCUCAUUUCCUUCUAGGGAAGCCAUCAAUUUUCUUAGCGCGAUCUCAAUAGUUAUGGAUCUAAUUAACUCUUCACGUCGUUCCCAAUCCUUCACCGUGAUGCCAAUUCUGAGGACCUUUGAGACGAGCACUGCAAUCCUAGGAUGGUCAAAAACCAUAGGCCAUGUGGCUAAUGGAACUCCCAUAGUAACAGACUCUUGUACAGAAUUCCACCCGCAGUGACUCAAGAAACCUCCUGUUGCUGAGUGCCCUAAGAUAUCUAAUUUGGGUGCCCAAUCCUUCACCACGAGUCAUCUUCCUUGUACUCUCUCUUCAUAACCUUUAAGAAUUUGAACUUGUUCGCCUUUUUUUAACAACUCAUCACUCACUAUCCAAAUGAACUUGUGUUGACUCUUUUCCAACCCUAUAGCGAGCUCUUUGAUUUGCUCUGUGGAUAAGGAAGUUGUUGUUCCAAAUGACACUAAUAUUACAGAGUUUGGUUCUUGUUUGUCUAGCCAUUUCAAACACCCAUGACGAUUGAUGUUGUUUUGAUCAUCAUUAAUGGUCGCGAUUGGAAGUAAUGGACAUAUAGCCCAUUGCUUAGGGCUUCUUCUUAGUAACCUAUAGAACCUUGCAAGAACAUCGAUAUAAGUCCCCUCAAUUGCCUUGCAUGUGUAGUAGAGGUUUCCAGAGCAGAAUUUUUUAUACAAGUCUUGCCUUAUACUAAAGUUCAUAAACUCGGGUAUGAAACUACUUUGAUAGGACGGAAGAUUAUUGGGAAAUUCAAAACCACUUGGGAUUAGAACUCUCGCGGCAAAUUUGCCAAUAAACAAGGGGGAGAUGGAGUCGUAUUAGUUCCUCUUCCACAUACAUGGAACUUAUCAUAAAAACUGACGAGGAAUUGAAACAAUAGGCCUCUGCAAUUGGCAGAGAAACAACGUCUUCAACAACACUAGCCAUCAUAGAGUCAUAAAUGACUACUACCUUGCGUGUUUUUUGGAAACCUCUUGUAAGAAUGCCCCCACAGGCUUGCGCAACAUAAGGGUUUCUUCAAGGAGGGGUAGUAUGAAUUUUUGUGACUCCCUUUCAGACAAAGAUUUAUUUGAAGAAUAUUGUUCACCAGUUGGUGGAUUUGGGAAUUCAUGGAAAUAGAUGUUGCAAGUGGUUAGAGGUUCCCAACCAUAAACACGAUUUUUAACUUGCUUAAUUUUGUCAGCGUAGGAAAGAUAAUAGAUUGGUAAAUUGUAGGAAGAAAUUACUUGAGAGAUAUUGAGGAGUUGAUUGAGAUGUCCUUGUAAUAAAAAGGUAUCAUCACUACAACUACUUCUUCUUCUUCGAUUCUAUUAAUUUGGCUAUGGUUUGAAGAAAAGGCAAUAUCAUACAUAGCCAUUUCAACAAAAGUUUGGUAUAUAGAUAAGCUAAUAUAUUGAUUCUUGAUGUGGCUUUUUCUGAGAAAACAUAUGGAAUCCAGCCAUUAUAAAUACAUAUACUAGUUGAUUAUAGAUCACGAGUUCAGACAACAACUAACUAAAUAUCUCAACAAAAAUAACAAUAAUAAUAAAAAUAAUAAUACUAAUAAUAAUAAUAAUAAUAAUAAUAACAACUUACUCAGUGUAUAAUCCACAAAUAACAUCUAAAGAGGAUAGGACGAUGUACAUGCACAAACCUCCACCGUUCUGAUAAUAUAAUUGUCAUACAAAUAUUAUGAUGUUUUAUCAUAUUAUAUUCUUUAUUAUAUUAUAAAGGGAAAAUGCAUAAGUACCCCCAACCUAUGCCCGAAAUCUCAGAGACACAUUUAUAUUAUACUAAGGUCCUAUUACCCCCCUCCCUCCCCCACUCCCCCCAAACUUAUUUUAUAAGUAAUUUUCUACCCCUAUUUCGGCUUACGUGGCACUAUCUUCUGGACCCAGCACAUUCUGACAAUUUUUUCUAGCUAUUUGGUUGAUAGUGCCACGUAGGCCGAAAUGGGGUAGAAAAUUAUUUAUUAAAUAUGUUCAGAGAGUAAUAGGAACUUAGUAUAGUAUAAGUGUGUCUUUGGGAUUUCGGGCAUAGGUUGGGGGCUACUUAUGCAUUUUCCCUAUUAUAAAUAAAAAAAUUAUUAGCUACGGUUAUAUUUAAAUGACAAAACUAAUUAACUUGAAAAUUAAGGAUGAACAGUUCUACCUUUGGUUGUGACUGAGAAAGUCGAGGCAGACAAAGUAGGAACUACUUUUGUAAGGCUCAAGCGGUCAAUCCAAUAGAGAUAUCGAGUGGGAAACAUAAAAACAAUCUUGAUUAACAGCAUGCUUGUUGUUGAAUUAAUCAAUUAGUUCAUACUUGAGUGGGAAACAUAAAAACAAUCCUGAUUAGUAGCGUGCUUGUUGUUGAAUUAACAAAUUAGUUCGUACUUUCUCUAUCUCGUUUUAGAUGGACAUUUUACUAAAAAUAUUUAUUAUAAAUUAAUGGGAAAAUGCAUAAGUACCCCCCCAGUCUAUGCCCAAAAUCCUUGAAACACACCUAACCUUUACUAAGGUCCUAUUACCUCCCCGAACUUAUUUUUUAGUUAAUUUUUUACCACUUUUCGACCUACGUGGCUGAGUCCGUGACUUCACCUAUGUUAGGCGCGUGGGUACAGUUUUUAGACAGCACUAACCAAUAAAAAUUGGCCAUGUGUUAAAAUAAACUUGAAAAAAAUAAAUAUUAACUCAAUUGUCUUCUUCUUUAUUAUUGCUUCAUGUUUGGAAAAAAAAAUCUCCAUUAUCACAAGUUAAAUUGCUCCUUUCUUCGAAAAGCUAACAAAAUAAAAUCAAGAAAAAACUAACCUUUGAAUCAACCACGAUUCUUGAUGACUUAGAGGUAGGGGUGUACAUAGGUCGGUUUGGUUCGGUUUUUCAUUAAAAAAAACCUAUAUCAAUUAUGUCGGUUUAUUAAAUCUAAAUACCAAAUCAAACCACGCAAAGUCAGUUUUUUCGGUUUCGGUUUUAGUCAGAUCUUUUGGUUUUUUGGUUUUUUUCAAUUUUUUACAACUUAACGGUGUUUGAAAAAGAGAUCAAAUAUAUUUUCACCUACCUGUGUGAUAAGCUAAACUUAAGAAACGUUAAAUGAAUAGAAAUUUUCGUAAAGACGGUAAAAUUCACAUGAGUAGAAAAUAUUUUUUUUGGAAAUAUCAACGUUCAUUAUGUUAAAUUAAUAAGAUUAAAGGAUACAGUCAAACUGAAUACAAAACGAAAUAUUUACACAGUAAAUUGCUAACUUCAAAUUUGAAAACUAUAACAAUAUGAUUGUAACUUCGGAUCUUAAUACAAAAUAAAAUAUUUACAAAUUUUACAAGCCCAAAUUUGAAAUAAAAUAUAUAAACAUUGAAAACUAUAAACUAGCUAAAAUAUAUUAACAAAGUAGAUUAUAAAUAAUAUUUUUUAUCUAUAAAUAAAAUAAAAUUAUAUGAAUAAUAUUUACAAAAUUUUACAAGCCCAAAUUUGAAAUAAAAUAUAUAAACAUUGAAAACUAUAAACUAGCUAAAAUAUAUUAACAAAGUAGAUUAUAAAUAAUAUUUUUUAUCUAUAAAUAAAAUAAAAUUAUAUGAAUAAUAUUUACAAAAUUUUACAAGCCCAAAUUUGAAAUAAAAUAUAUAAACAUUGAAAACUAUAAACUAGCUAAAAUAUAUUAACAAAGUAGAUUAUAAGUAAUAUUUUUUUUAUCUAUAAAUAAAAUAAAAUUAUAUGAAUAAUAUUUACAAAAUUUUACAAGCCCAAAUUUGAAAUAAAAUAUAUAAACAUUGAAAACUAUAAACUAGCUAAAAUAUAUUAACAAAGUAGAUUAUAAGUAAUAUUUUUUUUAUCUAUAAAUAAAAUAAAAUUAUAUGAAUAAUAUUUACAAAAUUUUACAAGCCCAAAUUUGAAAUAAAAUAUAUAAACAUUGAAAACUAUAAACUAGCUAAAAUAUAUUAACAAAGUAGAUUAUAAGUAAUAUUUUUUUUAUCUAUAAAUAAAAUAAAAUUAUAUGAAUAAUAUUUACAAAAUUUUACAAGCCCAAAUUUGAAAUAAAAUAUAUAAACAUUGAAAACUAUAAACUAGCUAAAAUAUAUUAACAAAGUAGAUUAUAAGUAAUAUUUUUUUUAUCUAUAAAUAAAAUAAAAUUAUAUAUAUAAUAUUUACAAAAUUUUACAAGCCCAAAUUUGAAAUAAAAUAUAUAAACAUUGAAAACUAUAAACUAGCUAAAAUAUAUUAACAAAGUAGAUUAUAAGUAAUAUUUUUUUUAUCUAUAAAUAAAAUAAAAUUAUAUAUAUAAUAAUUACAAAAUUUUACAAGCCCAAAUUUGAAAUAAAAUUAUAAACAUUGAAAUCUAUAAACUAACUAAAAAUAUAUUAACAAAGUAGAUUAUAAAUAAUAUUUUUAUCUAAAACAUAAAAUGAUAGCUUUUUGAAUUUUUGGGAAGUGUAAAAGCUACUUUUGAAUUGAUAGCUUACUUUUUAGAAAGUUGAAAAAGCUAGGCCCAGCGCGUGUUGAACAAAGCUUUCAACCUAUCUGGUUUAUAUUGCCACGUAAGUCGAAAAGUGGUUAAAAACUAAUUAAAAAAUACGUUCGAGGGGGUAAUAGGACCUUAGUAAAGGUUAGGUGUGUCUCAGAGAUUUUGGGCAUAGGCUGGGGGGAUACUUAUGCAUUUUCCCUAAAUUAAUUGAUGACUUACUAAAUUAGGAUAGAAUUAAUUGUUUUUUUUUCCUAUUUUACUUCUACAACUAAUAUGGUCUUCGGAAGUUUAAACAAAUUUUGAAGAUCCACAAUUUCUUUUUUUUUUUUCAAUAGGAUAAUAUGAACAAAGGGGAAAAUAGUAAAAUUGACAAAUAUGAUUUUUUAAGCAUAAUAAGUGUUCCAUGAUAAUAUCGAUCCACCAUUAGUCCUAUGUUUAUAUAUAGUGAAAAUUAACUUACCUACCCAAUAUGGGUUGUGGUAUAGUGGUGAGACUAUUUCGCCCUUAACCAAAGGUCUUGAGUUCGAGCCCUAGAUAUAGAGAAAAUCAUGUUAGAAACACCAUCCCAGAAUGAACCCAACAGAGCGCGAUCCAAAUCAAGCCGGAGCUCUAAUGUGGGUUCUAGACAUUGGGUAGAAAACAAAAAAAAAAACUUAUCUUACAGGCUUAAUUUUUUAUUUUUUAUUGGUCUCCCACCUAGUCCCGUUUGAUAUAAAGGCUUUAGCUUGAAGACUUCUUAUUUAAAACUACUAAAUUCAAAAAAAUAAAUUGAAUCUAGUAGUUUUAAAUAAAAAGAUUUAUCAAAUGUAUUAAAAUGUCCUUUAAUAUUAUAAUCUUAAAGAUGACAUGUGAAAAUUUGAACUUAAAAAGUUAUUAAAAAAAUGAAAUGUUUUUUUUAAAGUAAAUUUUUAAAUUUUUUUAGGAUAAAUAAAUUAAAACGAAUGAAAUAAUAAUUAAGAACCAACAAUUGACCAAAAAGGUAAUCAAAAUUGCUUCAUAUGCAAAGAACUAACACAGAUUAAAGAAAUAAUGACUAAUGAUUUAUUUAUAAACUAAUUUAAAAGAGUAAAAAAUUUGAAGACACAAAAAAUCAGUAAAAUAUUCACAUGUUUGACCAAGAAACCCAUGAUAAAAGGAAGACAUGUAAAAUGGGUAGAUUGCAAUUACAACAACAUAAGUACAUUGAAUUUUAAUGGUAAGUAAUCAUUGUCAGAAUUUUCAUCUCUUUAGUGAGCAUUUGAUUUUCGACCCCCUUAUAACUCCCCUCGAUCCAAUUAAAAAAAAAUACAUGACUUGAAUUUUUAGGAAUUUUUGAAGUUCUUGAAAUAAGUUUUCUAACGAGUUAUACCAAUAUGUAUAGUCAACACAAAUUAUUUUCAACAAAAUGACUGCAUGUUUAUAAUGUAUCGAUAUUAUUUAAAUAAUAUAUAAUUGUAUAUAGAAAAUGUAUAACUAUGUAUUAGAGAUGAAUAUACAUCUAAAUAAUAUCAAGUACUCUCUGUCCGUUCAUUUAUUGUGUGUUAGUUUGACAAAAAAAAAAGAGAAUUUAAAAAUAAAUAAAACUUUUUAACUUGCAACUAAUAAGUUACUGUUUAUAAAUAGCGAUUUUUUUUUUUUAAAAAAAAAACUGACUAAACAUAAAAGUAAGACACAAAUUGAACCAUUGGAAGUAAUAUAAUAGUUAACAAUAUAAUUAGAAGAGAAAAAAAGGUAAGGACGAGAACGUUCCACCAAAUUAAUCAUUACAUAAAAUGAGCAUUCUCACCAUUAAGGAAUAUAUAGGGGAUUUUAACAAUAUAAUAAAUUUUAAUAACAAUCAAAAUAAAUAUUAUAUUUAAAUACAAAAGAUAUAGUAUACAUGCAAUACAAUAGGUAAGAACCAUCCAAACAACAUGUAAAGCAAAGUAGAAAAACUAGAACAUUUUAGUGUCUUCAGAAACAAGCACACCUACAAAUUGAACUUGAUCUAGUAAUGUGAGCAAUGAAAGAAUCCAUCUCUCUCUUAGAAUCCCCACCAAGAGUGAUGGAUUGUCUCACUUUUUUACUUAAUUCAACCAUAUUCUUCCUCACCUCAUUUCCUUCUGGGGAAGCCAUCAAUUUUCUUAGCGCGAUCUCAAUAGUUAUGGAUGUAAUUAACUCAUCACGUCGUUCCCAAUCCUUCACUGUGAUGCCAAUUUUGAGGACCUUUGUGACAAGCACUGCAAUCCUUGGAUGGUCAAAAAUCAUAGGCCAUGUGGCUAAUGGAACUCCCAUGGUAACAGACUCUAGUACAGAAUUCCACCCGCAGUGACUCAAGAAACCUCCUGUUGCUGAGUGCCCUAAGAUAUCUAAUUUGGGUGCCCAAUCCUUCACCACGAGUCAUCUUCCUUGUACUCUCUCUUCAUAACCUUUGGGAAUUUGAACUUGUUCGCCUUCUUUUAACAACACAUCACUCACUAUCCAAAUGAACUUGUGUUGACUCUUUUCCAACCCUAUAGCGAGCUCUUUGAUUUGCUCUGUGGAUAAGGAAGUUGUUGUUCCAAAUGACACUAAUAUUACAGAGUUUGGUUCUUGUUUGUCUAGCCAUUUCAAACACCCAUGACGAUUAAUGUUGUUUUGAUCAUCAUUUAUGGUCGCGAUUGAAAGUAAUGGACCUAUAGCCCAUUGCUUAGGGCUUCUUCUUAGUAACCUAUUGAACCUUGCAAGAACAUCGAUAUAAGGCCCCUCAAUCGCCUUGCAUGUGUAGUAAAGGUUUCCAGAGCAGAAUUUUUUAUACAAGUCUUGCCUUAUACUAAAGUCCAUAAACUCGGGUAUGAAACUACUUUGAUAGGACAGAAGAUUUUUGGGAAAUUCAAAUCCACUUGGGAGUAGAACUCUCGCGGCAAAUUUGCCAAUAAACAAGAGGAGAUGGAGUCGUAUUAGUUCCUCUUCCACAUACAUGGAACUUAUCAAAAAAGCAGACGAGGAGUUGAAACAAUAGGCCUCUGCAUUUGGUAUAGAAGCAACGUCUUCAACAACACUAGCCAUCAUAGAGACAUAAAUGACUACUACCUUGCGUGUUUUUUUGGAAACCUCUUGUAAGAAUGCCCCCACAGGCUCGCGCAACAUAAGGGUUUCUUCAAGGAGGGGUAGUAUGAAUUUUUGUGACUCCCUUUCGGACAAAGAUUUAUUUGAAGAAUAUUGUUCACCGGAUGGUGGAUUUGGGAAUUCAUGGAAAUAGAUGUUGCAAGUUGUUAGAGGGUCCCAACCAUAAACACGAUUUUUAACUUGCUUAAUUUUGUCAGCGUAGGAAAGAUAAUAAAUUGUUAAAUUGUAGGAAGAAAUUACUCGAGAGAUAUUGAGGAGUUGAUUUAGAUGUCCUUGUAAUAAAAAAGGUAUUAUCACUACAACUACUUCUUCUUUUUCUUCGAUUCCAUUAAUUUGGCUGUGGUUUGAAGAAAAGGCAAUAUCAUACAUAGCCAUUUCAACAAAAGUUUGGUAUAUAGAUAAGCUAAUAUAUUAAUUCUUGAUGUGGCUUUUGCUGAGAAAACAUAUGGAAUCCGGCCCCUAUAAAUACAUUUACUAAUUGAUUAUAGAUCACGAGUUCAGACAAACAACUAACUAAAUAUCUCAACUCCAACAAUAACAAUAAUAAAUUACUCAAUGUAAUCCACAAAUAACAUCUAAAGAGGAUAGGACGAUGUACAUGCACAAACCUCCACCUUUCUGAUAAUAUAAUAGUUAUAUAAAUAUUAUGACGUAUUUAGUACGAUAAGUACCAAAUUAAAGUCUUCAUUUAUAAAUUUUAACAUAUACUUCAAAAUGUUAAUAAUUUGGGACUCCAAUAUUAUAUAUAUACAAAAUAAAUGAUUGUUUAUUGCAAUGGACAAUAUCAUAUUAUACGUAACAAUAUUUGCGGGAUUGGCUACCUGUUUUUGAUUACAUUUUCAACGUUUUAUCAUAUUAUAUUAUAUAUUAUAUUAUAAAGGGAAAAUGCAUAAAUACCCCAACCUAUGCCUGAAAUCUCAAAGACACACUUAUAUUAUACUAAGGUUCUAUUACCCCCCCCCCCCACCCCCACCCCAAACUUAUUUUAUACGUAAUUUUCUACCCCUUUUCGGCCUACGUGGCACUAUCUUCUGGACCUAGCGCGUGUUGACAAUUUUUUCAAGAUAUUUGGUUGAUAGUGCCACGUAGGCCGAAAAGGGGUAGAAAAUUACGUAUAAAAUAAGUUUGGGGUGGGGGUGGGGGGGGGGGGAGAUAGAUCUUUUUAAAUAUCAUAGGGUUGCUCAAAGGAUAUUUACAAAUGAACUUACUUUUAUUUAUUUUUAAAAAUCAGACGUCUAAACUAUGGAAUGAGCACGCUUUAGGUUAACUAAUAUAUAUAUAAUAUUAGAAUGGACAGUUCUACCUUUGGUUGUGACUGAGAAAGUCGAGGCAGACAAAGUAGGAACUACUUUUGUAAGGCUCAAGCGGUCAAUCCAAUAGAGAUAUCGAGUGGGAAACAUAAAAACAAUCUUGAUUAACAGCAUGCUUGUUGUUGAAUUAAUCAAUUAGUUCAUACUUUCUCUAGCUCGUUUUAGAUGGACAUUUUACUAAAUAUAUUUAUCAUAAAUUAAUUGAUGACUUACUAAAUUAGGAUAGAAUUAAUUGUUUUUUUUUUCCUAUUUUACUUCUACAACUAAUAUGGUCUUUGGAAGUUUAAACAAAUUUUGAAGAUCCGUAAUUUCUUUCUUUUUUUUCAAAAGGAUAAUAUGAACAAAGGGGAAAAUAGUAAAAUUGACAAAUAUGAUUUUUUAAGAAUAAUAAGUGUUCCAUAAUAACAUCGAUCCACCACUAGUCCUAUGUUUAUAUAUAUUGAAAAUUAACUCACCUACCAAUAUGGGUUGUCGUAUAGUGGUGAGACUAUUUCACCCUUAACCAAAGGUCUUGAGUUCGUGCCCUAGAUAUAGAGAAAAAUCAUGUUAGGAGCGCCAUUCCAGAAUAAACCCAACAGAGCGCGAUCCAAAUCAAGCCAGAGCUCUAAUGUGGGCUCCGGACAUUAGAUAGAAAACAAAAAAAAAACUUAUCUUAGAGGCUUAAUUUUUUAUUUUUUAUUGAUUUCCCACCUAGUCCCGUUUGAUAUAAAGGCUUUAGCUUGAAGACUUCUUAUUUAAAACGACUAAAUUCAAAAAAAUAAAUUGAAUCUAGUAGUUUUAAAUAAAAAGAUUUUAUCAAAUGUAUUAAAAUGUCCUUUAAUAUUAUAAUCUUAAAGAUGACAUGUGAAAAUUUGAACUUAAAAAGUUAUUAAAAAAAUGAAAUGUUUUUUUUAAAGUAAAUUUUUAAAUUUUUUUAGGAUAAAUAAAUUAAAACGAAUGAAAUAAUAAUUAAGAACAAACAAUUGACCAAAAAGGUAAUCAAAAUUGAUUCAUAUGCAAAGAACUAACACAGAUUAAAGAAAUAAUAAUAUAUUUACAAACUAAUUUAAACGAGCAAAAAAUUAGAAAUAACAAAAAAUCAGUAAAAUAUUCACAUGUUUGACCAUGAAACCCAUGACAAAAGGAAGACAUGUAAAAUGGGUAGGUUGCAAUUACAACAACAUAAGUACAUUGAAUUUUAAUGGUAAGAAAUCACUGUCAGAAUUUUCAUCUUAUUAGUGAGCGUUUGAUUUUCGAUCCCCUUAUAAUUCCCCUCUAUCCAAUUAAAAAAAAUACACGACUUGAAUCUUUAGGGAUUUUUGAAGUUCUUGAAAUAAGUUUUCUAACGAGUUAUACCAAUAUGUAUAGUCAACACAAAUUAUUUUCAACAAAAUGAUUGUAUGUUUGUAAUGUAUCGAUAUUAUUUAAAUAAUAUAUAAUUGUAUAUAGAUAAUGUAUAGCUAUGUAUUAGAGAUGAAUAUACAUCUAAAUAAUACUAAGUACUCUCCGGCCGUUCAUUUUAUGUGUGUUAGUUUGACAAAAAAAAAGGAGAAUUUAAAAAUAAAUAAGACUUUUUAACUUGCAAUUAAGGAGUUACUGAUUAUAAAUAGUGAUUAUUUUUUAUUUUUUUAAAAAAAAAUAACUAAACAUAAAAGUAAGACACAAAUUGAACCAUGGUAAAUAAUAUAAUAGUUAACAAUAUAAUUAGAAGAGAAAAAAAGGUAAGGACGAGAACGCUCCAACAAAUUAAUUAUUACAUAAAAUGAGCAUUCUUAUCAUGAAGGAAUAGGGGAUUUAACAAUAUAAUAAAUGGAAAAUGCAUAAGUACCCCCUAGCCUAUACCCAAAAUCUCUGAGACACACCUAACCUUUACUAAGGUCCUAUUACCCCCCGAACUUAUUUUAUAUAUAAUUUUUUACCCCUUUUAAGCCUACGUGACACUAUCUUGUGGGCCCAACGCGUGUUGACAUUUUUUUCAAGGAUGGUGCCACGUAGGCCAAAAAGGGGUAGAAAAUUAAUAAAAAAAUAAGUUCAGGGGGGUAAUAGGACCUUAGUAAAGGUUAGGUGUGUCUCAGGGAUUUCGGGCAUAGGCUGGGGUGGUACUUGUGCAUUUUCCCUUUAAUAACAAUCAAAAUAAAUAUAAUAUUUAAAUACAAAAGAUAUAGUGUACAUUAUUACAUAAAAUGAGCAUUCUUAUCAUUAAGGAAUAGGGGAUUUACCAAUAUAAUAAAUUUUAAUAACAAUCAAAAUAAAUAUUAUAUUUAAAUACAAAAGAUAUAGUAUACAUGCAAUACAAUAGGUAAGAACCAUCCAAACAACAUGUAAAGCAAAGUAGAAAAACUAGAACAUUUUAGUGUCUUCAUAAACAAGCACACCUACAAAUUGAACUUGAUCUAGUAAUGUGAGCAAUGAAAGAAUCCAUCUCUCUCUUAGAAUCCCCACCAAGAGUGAUGGAUUGUCUCACUUUUUUACUUAAUUCAACCAUAUUCUUCCUCACCUCAUUUCCUUCUGGGGAAGCCAUCAAUUUUCUUAGCGCGAUCUCAAUAGUUAUGGAUGUAAUUAACUCAUCACGUCGUUCCCAAUCCUUCACUGUGAUGCCAAUUUUGAGGACCUUUGUGACAAGCACUGCAAUCCUUGGAUGGUCAAAAAUCAUAGGCCAUGUGGCUAAUGGAACUCCCAUGGUAACAGACUCUAGUACAGAAUUCCACCCGCAGUGACUCAAGAAACCUCCUGUUGCUGAGUGCCCUAAGAUUUCCAAUUGGGGUGCCCAAUCCUUCACCACGAGCCCUCUUCCUUGUACUCUCUCUUCAUAACCUUUGGGAAUUUGAACUUGUUCGCCUUCUUUUAACAACACAUCACUCACUAUCCAAAUGAACUUGUGUUGACUCUUUUCCAACCCUAUAGCGAGCUCUUUGAUUUGCUCUGUGGAUAAGGAAGUUGUUGUUCCAAAUGACACUAAUAUUACAGAGUUUGGUUCUUGUUUGUCUAGCCAUUUCAAACACCCAUGACGAUUGAUGUUGUUUUGAUCAUCAUUAAUGGUCGCGAUUGGAAGUAAUGGACCUAUAUCCCAUUGCUUAGGGCUUCUUCUUAGUAACCUAUUAAACCUUGCAAGAACAUCGAUAUAAGGCCCCUCAAUCGCCUUGCAUGUGUAGUAAAGGUUUCCAGAGCAGAAUUUUUUAUACAAGUCUUGCCUUAUACUAAAGUCCAUAAACUCGGGUAUGAAACUACUUUGAUAGGACGGAAGAUUAUUGGGAAAUUCAAAUCCACUUGGGAGUAGAACUCUCGCGGCAAAUUUGCCAAUAAACAAGGGGAGAUGGAGUCGUAUUAGUUCCUCUUCCACAUACAUGGAACUUAUCAAAAAAGCAGACGAGGAGUUGAAACAAUAGGCCUCUGCAUUUGGUAUAGAAGCAACGUCUUCAACAACACUAGCCAUCAUAGAGUCAUAAAUGACUACUACCUUGCGUGUUUUUUUGGAAACCUCUUGUAAGAAUGCCCCCACAGGCUCGCGCAACAUAAGGGUUUCUUCAAGGAGGGGUAGUAUGAAUUUUUGUGACUCCCUUUCGGACAAAGAUUUAUUUGAAGAAUAUUGUUCACCAGAUGGUGGAUUUGGGAAUUCAUGGAAAUAGAUGUUGCAAGUGGUUAGAGGGUCCCAACCAUAAACACGAUUUUUAACUUGCUUAAUUUUGUCAGCGUAGGAAAGAUAAUAGAUUGGUAAAUUGUAGGAAGAAAUUACUCGAGAGAUAUUGAGGAGUUGAUUGAGAUGACCUUGUAAUAAAAAAGGUAUCAUCACUACAACUACUUCUUCUUCUUCGAUUCCAUUAAUUUGGCUGUGGUUUGAAGAAAAGGCAAUAUCAUACAUAGCCAUUUCAACAAAAGUUUGGUAUAUAGAUAAGCUAAUAUAUUAAUUCUUGAUGUGGCUUUUGCUGAGAAAACAUAUGGAAUCCAGCCCCUAUAAAUACAUUUACUAGUUGAUUAUAGAUCACGAGUUCAGACAAACAACUAACUAAAUAUCUCAAUAACAACAACAAUAAUAAUAAUAACUUACUCAGUGUAAUCCACAAAUAAUAUCUAAAGAGUAUAGGACGAUGUUACAUGCACAAACCUCCACCUUUCUGAUAAUAUAAUAGCCAUACAAAUAUUAUGAUGUAUUUAGUACGAUAAGUAUCAAAUUAAAGUCUUCAUUUAUAAAUUUUAACAUAUACUUCAAAAUGUUAAUAAUUUGGGACUCCAAUAUUAUAUAUAUACAAAAUAAAUGAUUGCGUAUUGCAAUGGAUAAUAUCAGAUUAUACGUAACAAUAUUUGCGGGAUUGCCUACCUGUUUUAGAUUACAUUUUCAAUGUUUUAUCAUAUUUUAUUAUAUAUAAUAUUAUAAAGGGAAAAUGCAUAAGUACCCCUAACAGAUGCCCAAAAUCUACACACUUAUAUUAUACUAAGGUCCUAUUACCCCUCCACUCCCAUCCCCCAUCCCAAAUUUAUUUUAUAAGUAAUUUUUUACCCCUUUUCGGCCUACGUGGCACUAUCUUCUAGACCUAGCGCGUGUUGACAAUUUUUUCAAGAUAUUUGGUUGAUAGUGCCACGUAGGCCGAAAAGGGGUCGAAAAUUAUUUAUUAAAUAAGUUCGGAGAGUAAUAGGACCUUAGUAUAGUAUAAGUGUGUGUUUGGGAUUUCGGGCAUAGGUUGGGGGCUACUUAUGCAUUUUCCCUAUUAUAAAUAAAAAACUAUUAGCUACGGUUAUAUUUAAAUUACAAAACUAAUUAACUUGAAAAUUAAGGAUCUUUUUAAAUAUCAUAGGGUUGCUCAAAGGAUAUUUACAAAUGAACUUACUUUUAUUUAUUUUUAAAAAUCAGACGUCUAAACUAUGGAAUGAGCACGCUUUAGGUUAACUAAUAUAUAUAUAAUAUUAGAAUGGACAGUUCUACCUUUGAUUGUGACUGAGAAAGUCGAGGCAGACAAAGUAGGAACUAUUUUUGUAAGGCUCAAGCGGUCAAUCCAAUAGAGAUAUCGAGUGGGAAACAUAAAAACAAUCUUGAUUAGCAGCGUGCUUGUUGUUGAAUUAAUCAAUUAGUUCGUACUUUCUCUGUCUCGUUUUAGAUGGACAUUUUACUAAAAAUAUUUAUCAUAAAUUAAUUGAUGACUUACUAAAUUAGGAUAGAAUUAAUUGUUUUUUUUUCCCUAUUUUACUUCUACAAUUAAUAUGAUCUUUGGAAGUUUAAACAAAUUUUGAAGAUCCGCAAUUUCUUUCUUUUUUUUCAAGAGGAUAAUAUGAACAAAGGGGAAAAUAGUGAAAUUGACAAAUAUGAUUUUUUAAGCAUAAUAAGUGUUCCAUGAUAACAUCGAUCCACCACUAGUCCUAUGUUUAUAUAUAGUGAAAAUUAACUUACCUACCAAUAUGGGUUGUGGUAUAGUGGUGAGACUAUUUCACCCUUAACCAGUGUCUUAAGUUUGUGCCCUAGAUAUAGAGAAAAUCAUGUUAGGAGCGCCAUUCCAUAAUGAACACAAUAGAGCGCGAUCCAAAUCAAGCAGGAGCUCUAAUGUGGGCUCCGGACAUUGGAUAGCAAACAAAAAAAACUUAUCUUAGAGGCUUAAUUUUUUAUUUUUUAUUGAUUUCCCACCUAGUCCCGUUUGAUAUAAAGGCUUUAACUUGAAGGCUUUUUAUUUAAAACUACUAGAUUCAAAAAAAAAAAAUUGAAUCUAGUAGUUUUAAAUAAAAAGAUUUAUCAAAUGUACUAAAAUGUCCUUUAAUAUUAUAAUCUUAAAGAUGAUAUGUGAAAAGUUGAACUUAAAAAGUUAUUAACAAAAUGAAAUGUUUUUUUUAAAAGUAAAUUUUUAAAUUUUUUAGGAUAAAUAAAUUAAAACGAAUGAAAUAAUAAUUAAGAACAAACAAUUGACCAAAAAGGUAAUCAAAAUUGCUUCAUAUGCAAAGAACUAACACAGAUUAAAGAAAUAAUAAUAUAUUUAUAAACUAAUUUAAACGAGCAAAGAAUUUGAAAUUACAAAAAAUCAGUAAAAUAUUCACAUGUUUGACCAAGAAACCCAUGAUAAAAGGAAGACAUGUAAAAUGGGUAGGUUGCAAUUACAACAACAUAAGUACAUUGAAUUUUAAUGGUAAGAAAUCACUGUCAGAAUUUUUAUCUUAUUAGUGAGCGUUUGAUUGUCGACCCCCUUAUAAUUCCCCUCGAUCCAAUUAAAAAAAAAUACACGACUUGAAUCUUUAGGGAUUUUUGAAGUUCUUGAAAUAAGUUUUCUAACGAGCUAUACCAAUAUGUAUAGUCAACACAAAUUAUUUCAACAAAAUGACUGCAUGCUUGUAAUGUAUCGAUAUUAUUUAAAUAAUAUAUAAUUGUAUAUAGAUAAUGUAUAACUAUAUAUUAGAGAUGAAUAUACAUCUAAAUAAUAUUAAGUACUCUCCCGCCGUUCAUUUUAUGUGUGUUAGUCUGACAAAAAAAAAAAGAGAAUUUAAAAAUAAAUAAGACUUUUUGACUUGCAAUUAAGGAGUUACUGAUUAUAAAUAGUAUUUUUUUAUUUUUUAUUUUUUUUUAAAAAUAACUAAACAUAAAAGUAAGACACAAAUUGAACCAUGGGAAGUAAUAUAAUAGUUAACAAUAUAAUUAGAAGAGAAAAAAAGGUAAGGACGAGAACGUUCCACCAAAUUAAUCAUUACAUAAAAUGAGCAUUCUUACCAUUAAGGAAUAUAUAGGGGAUUUUAACAAUAUAAUAAAUUUUAAUAACAAUCAAAAUAAAUAUUAUAUUUAAAUACAAAAGAUAUAGUAUACAUGCAAUACAAUAGGUAAGAACCAUCCAAACAACAUGUAAAGCAAAGUAGAAAAACUAGAACAUUUUAGUGUCUUCAGAAACAAGCACACCUACAAAUUGAACUUGAUCUAGUAAUGUAAGCAAUGAAAGAAUCCAUCUCUCUCUUAGAAUCCCCACCAAGAGUGAUGGAUUGUCUCACUUUUUUACUUAAUUCAACCAUAUUCUUCCUCACCUCAUUUCCUUCUGGGGAAGCCAUCAAUUUUCUUAGCGCGAUCUCAAUAGUUAUGGAUGUAAUUAACUCAUCACGUCGUUCCCAAUCCUUCACUGUGAUGCCAAUUUUGAGGACCUUUGUGACAAGCACUGCAAUCCUUGGAUGGUCAAAAAUCAUAGGCCAUGUGGCUAAUGGAACUCCCAUAGUAACAGACUCUUGUACAGAAUUCCACCCGCAGUGACUCAAGAAACCUCCUGUUGCUGAGUGCCCUAAGAUUUCCAAUUGGGGUGCCCAGUCCUUCACCACGAGCCCUCUUCCUUGUACUCUCUCUUCAUAACCUUUGGGAAUUUGAACUUGUUCGCCUUCUUUUAACAACACAUCACUCACUAUCCAAAUGAACUUGUGUUGACUCUUUUCCAACCCUAUAGCGAGCUCUUUGAUUUGCUCUGUGGAUAAGGAAGUUGUUGUUCCAAAUGACACUAAUAUUACAGAGUUUGGUUCUUGUUUGUCUAGCCAUUUCAAACACCCAUGACGAUUAAUGUUGUUUUGAUCAUCAUUUAUGGUCGCGAUUGAAAGUAAUGGACCUAUAGCCCAUUGCUUAGGGCUUCUUCUUAGUAACCUAUUGAACCUUGCAAGAACAUCGAUAUAAGGCCCCUCAAUCGCCUUGCAUGUGUAGUAAAGGUUUCCAGAGCAGAAUUUUUUAUACAAGUCUUGCCUUAUACUAAAGUCCAUAAACUCGGGUAUGAAACUACUUUGAUAGGACGGAAGAUUAUUGGGAAAUUCAAAUCCACUUGGGAGUAGAACUCUCGCGGCAAAUUUGCCAAUAAACAAGGGGAGAUGGAGUCGUAUUAGUUCCUCUUCCACAUACAUGGAACUUAUCAUAAAAGCAGACGAGGAGUUGAAACAAUAGGCCUCUGCAUUUGGUAUAGAAGCAACGUCUUCAACAACACUAGCCAUCAUAGAGUCAUAAAUGACUACUACCUUGCGUGUUUUUUUGGAAACCUCUUGUAAGAAUGCCCCCACAGGCUCGCGCAACAUAAGGGUUUCUUCAAGGAGGGGUAGUAUGAAUUUUUGUGACUCCCUUUCGGACAAAGAUUUAUUUGAAGAAUAUUGUUCACCAGAUGGUGGAUUUGGGAAUUCAUGGAAAUAGAUGUUGCAAGUGGUUAGAGGGUCCCAACCAUAAACACGAUUUUUAACUUGCUUAAUUUUGUCAGCGUAGGAAAGAUAAUAGAUUGGUAAAUUGUAGGAAGAAAUUACUCGAGAGAUAUUGAGGAGUUGAUUGAGAUGACCUUGUAAUAAAAAAGGUAUCAUCACUACAACUACUUCUUCUUCUUCGAUUCCAUUAAUUUGGCUGUGGUUUGAAGAAAAGGCAAUAUCAUACAUAGCCAUUUCAACAAAAGUUUGGUAUAUAGAUAAGCUAAUAUAUUAAUUCUUGAUGUGGCUUUUGCUGAGAAAACAUAUGGAAUCCAGCCCCUAUAAAUACAUUUACUAGUUGAUUAUAGAUCACGAGUUCAGACAAACAACUAACUAAAUAUCUCAACUCCAACAAUAACAAUAAUAAAUUACUCAAUGUAAUCCACAAAUAACAUCUAAAGAGGAUAGGACGAUGUACAUGCACAAACCACCACAUUUCUGAUAAUAUAAUAGUCAUACAAAUAUUAUGACGUAUUUAGUACGAUAAGUAUCAAAUUAAAGUCUUCAUUUAUAAAUUUUAACAUAUACUUCAAAAUGUUAAUAAUUUGGGACUCCAAUAUUAUAUAUAUACAAAAUAAAUGAUUGCGUAUUGCAAUGGAUAAUAUCAGAUUAUACGUAACAAUAUUUGCGGGAUUGCCUACCUGAUUUAGAUUACAUUUUCAAUGUUUUAUCAUAUUAUGUAUAAUAUUAUAAAGGGAAAAUGCAUAAGUACCCCAAUCUAUGCCCGAAAUCUCAGAAACACACUUAUAUUAUACUAAGGUCCUAUUACCCCCUCCCUCCCCAAACUUAUUUUAUAAGUAAUUUUCUAGCCCUUUCGUCUUACGUGGGCUAUAAGUACAUGACAUGUAUCUUUCAAAAUACUAUGUUUUAUUUUAUUUUAUCUAAUUAUAGUAAUUGAUAUAUAUAUUAAAUUUAUGACUUAAAAUAUUAAGUUUUUUAUUAGAAAAUAUUUAUAUCAAUUUCUAUGUCGGCCACGGCAUGUGAUCAAAGGAAAAAAAUUAAAAUUUAUUAUUUAACAACUAUUUGAUAUAAAUAACUAUUUUCAAUUUAUUUCUUUUAUGAAAAUAAUAUCAAAAUGGCGUUUCGAUGAAUAACUAAUUGCAUUUUACAUGUGAUCAAAGCAAAAAAAUUAAAAUGCAGAUAGUUAUUCAGCGACAAAACUGCAAAACUAUUUUUAUUCACUUACACUUUGGUGUCAGAUCACAUUCAAGCAACGGUCUAUAAUUACAAAUAUAAAGAUUUCUUUUACAAAUCUAAACAUAUUUCCUUGACUUCACAGAAGCAAUAGAUGAUACACACUGGUCAAAAAGAUAUAACUGAAAAAGAAUUAACCAAAAAUGAAAAGAUACUAAGGAAACACUACUAAAAAAACAGUGUUUAGCGACGGAUAUUAGCGACGAACAAUAUUCCGUCACUAUAUAACGACAGAUUUGCGACGGAAUAACCAUUUUGUUACAAAAUUAACAAAUUAUUUUUGAUUUAUAAUAUAGCAACAGAUUUGCAACGGAAUAUUUAAUCCGUCGCUAAUUAUUAGCGUGAAAAUUUGGCGCCUAAUUUUCCUUACGGAUUUAGCAACAAAGUAGUGGUGACAAAUUUAAUUAAUAUUGGGCAACGGAAUUAGUGACCAAAAAAAGGUUGCUAAACUAUUAAAUAUAUUUUUAUAAAAAUUAUAUUAUAUAGUGACGAAAAUAUCCGUCAAUAUAAUUUUUUCUUAAAUAUAUAUAUUUAUUUGAAAGCAACGGAUGUUAGAAUCCGUCACUAAGUCCGUUGCAAACUCCAAUUUCAGAUUUUAAUUACUCUCAUUUAAUCUCAUCCGUCCAUCAUGAUUCAUCAAACUCCAAGAGACAAUCUCAUCCGCUCAUCCGAAUUUGAUCAAUGGUCCUAAUUUAAGACCCUUGCUUUCUUAUUUUAUACAAAAGACCCCAAACCCUUAAUUUUUUUCAUUCUCCUCCUCUCCUCUCCAAAUCCGCCGCCCAGAACCCUUUUGCCCUCCUCUCCGUCCUUCUUUCUGGUCAGUGCAGCCUGGAGAACGAGCAGCGAACAACAAUGGAGACCUCCGGCAGGCGCGCGAAGACCACCAGUGAACCUCCAUCGCUGGCAGCAGCUCCAAACGAUGAGCAACCAGGCGGUCUCCGUCCGGCAACAGCAGCAACACAGAGAUUAUGCCACCAGUUUCCUCUCUCUCCGGCAAAAAACGACAGCAAUAUCAGUUUCACGCAGCAAGCAGAAAUGGUGAGCACCGAUAACAGCCAGCUCCAGCGAGCAACAUCAGCAAACGCCGGCGACACCCAGGAGAAGAUAACGACGCAGUUCCAAACGAACAGCAGUCGCUACCUCCGCCUUCUCUCUUUUCCGGCCAGCAACAACGACUCCAUGCGAGUUUGAGGAGGAUAACGGCAAGAGCAUUAAAGCUCCGGCCAACAGCUAUGAAUACGAAGAAACAAGUUAAAAGCUCCGGUAAAUUUUCUAAAUUAAGCUAAGGAUCCAUCUAGGUAGGUCCCUUUAAUGUCAUUCUAUUAACGCUUACUUGUUUAUAUACUUUUCUGUUAAAGUUUAAUUUAUUUGUUUAAGACUGCUUACUGUUAUCUUGUUACUCAUAUGCUUAACUGAUUAUUUCUAUCUAUUCAUUCAUUUUGGCGAUGGUCCGCUUUAAAUCCCUUUUUGUUAAUCAACUUGUUCCUUAUUCAAAUUAGAAAUAAUUUGUACGCAUAAUUUAAUCAUUGAUUUUUUUUGUUAAUUGAUAUGUUUGAUUUUGGAAAAUAAUUGGAGUAACUAGCUGAUUAUUAUUAGAAAAUGGCUUAAUUAUGGUAUAAUUUGAGUGAUUAAUGGAUUUGUUCAAAAUUGGUAUAUGAUUAUAAAUGGCAUAUGAUAUGCGUAUAUUUGUUUUUCCUUCUUUAGUUGGACAAUUUGAUCAUAAGUUGUAUAAUAGCUAGUUAUUUAUAGUAGUAUGAUUGGAUUUUGAUUCUUCUAACUAGCUUAUGGUAAGGUUUUGAGACUUCCAUUUUGAGAUAAAUUCCAGCUUAAUUCGGUAGGAAAUUAGGAGUAAUUUGUUAAUUGAUUGUAUUACCUUGUUAGCUUGCCUACCAACUAAUAUGUUAUGAUUUAAUGACUUUGUUGAUAACAUCUUGUAUGGCAAUUAUCUCCUUCUGCCUAAUGUGGUAUAAGAUGAUCGGAUAAAGCCUAUGAAACAGUAGUAAUCUUUCAUGACAUCAAGUUUGUGAAUAAUUGUAAGUGGUGCUUAUAGUUAUACUUCCUUUGGGAAAGUCUUUUACUUUUAUCUAUGAAUCUCACUUUUUCUCUUGUUGUAAUUUCCUUUAAGUGCUUGGUGUCAUCUCCUCUGCAUAGUGAGAAUGUUGAAUUAGCUAUUAUGUUCUCCAAAUUUGACAUUGAUUUUGUACUCACCUAAAAAACAGAAAAGCUAAAUGAACCAUGUUCAUCAGUUUCACCUUGCACCACACCAGUUUUCCAUUCUUUCAGCAAAUUAUCAACUAUGUCCCCAGCAGGAAGGUUAUGAAAAUUGGUAUCUGUUAAACACAUUUGAUAACGUCCAUUAGAAUGUAAUCCUGUCCAAAGCAUGAUUCCAUUUACACCUGGAUGUGAAAAUCCCUCUCUCAAAACCAUCUCUACAUAUUUAGCCUGUCAUCAUAUUCACAAAAAACUAUUAUCAUCAAAUCAUUAAUAAUACUUCCUCUGUAUCAAUGUGUUUGUCUGGUUUUGAUUUGACAUGUAGUUUAAGAAAGUAAAAAAAGCUUUUGAACCGAUUUUAUUGUUAUUGUAGGUGAAGUACCCUGAUCUGAAUUUCUUUAUCAAGAUUCUUGCUGAUAUCAACUUCUGUAAGCCAUAUAGGAAGUUUAAGUAUAGCCAAUUUGUCUAACACUGCUCUGAUAAGUGGAGGAUUUGGUACUGUAAAAUGUCCUUCUAGGCCAAUUCCUUCCAUUAUAAUUUUAUUCCUAAUCUUUAAUGUUCUCUUUAUCUUAAUUUAUUAUAGGAAAAAUAUGAAGAAAUAUUACAGAAAAAAACAACUUCUCAAUCUGAUAUUGAUCAAUGUGAAGCAUACUAUCAAGCUGCCGAGGGAGAAAAGAGCGAAGAAUAUACGGUCUUGAAUCUGAAGCAAGAACUUACUACGGGUAGAAUCUUUGUGCCUCGUCAUUUGUAGAACCUUCAGUUUCUCAAUCAACAUCGACAAGAAAUAUGGAUGUGUUUGUAAAGCAAAUGAUUUCUGCCCUUACUAAUCAUUUUCUUCCGGUUAUGAAGGAGCGGGUACAUCAAGUGCUCACUCCCAUUGAUUAGUCUUCUAUUUUUAUGUUGUCUGUCUUUUUAAAAGGUAUAAAUUGUGCGCUAACAAUAGUUGAUGAAUGUAGGUUCUCUUGAGAAUAGUUGACAAAUUGCUUUUGAUGUUUUCCACCAAAAGUAUGUGAUUUAGAUUUUGCUAUCUAUAGAUUUUGAACCCUCUAAAUAUUAUUUUAUAUGAAUGUUUGUAUUUAGAGGUAUUUAGUAAUUGUUAUUUAAUUUAUUUUACAAGAAAAUUAUUAGCAACAAAUUUAAUGAUGAUUUGGUCGUUGCUAUAAAAAAAUAUUGGCGACAGAUUAGCAACGAAACAUUUUAGUGACAUAAAUUUUGUCGCGAAUUUAUUUGAAAUGACGAAAUUAAUUAUGAAAUUAGCAACGAACUAUAUAAGUAUAAUGACGGAUCAGUACGUCACUAACAAAUGGCGACGAAUAUCAUUCGUCUCUAAUACGUCGCUAAACUUGCGACGAAACUCAUUUUUCGUCGCUAAGAGAUUACUAACGAGCGAAAUAGCAACAGCCAAAAAUCCGUCGCAAAUCUAUUGCAAAUCCGGCUUAGCGACGGAAAAUCAUAGAUUAGUGACGGAUUUCGUCAGUCGCUAAAUGCUGUUUUUUUUUGUAGUGAAAUAGAAUAACUUACAUCUAUUGAAGCACCACUCAUUUAAUCAUUAAAGGUUCUCCCAAUCAACAUUUAUGGUGGAAAUAUGAGCAAUUUUUGGUCAAUAGCCGUUGUUUGAGCAAUAGACGCUCCACACUGCUCGACAAGAUAUAAAAAAAAAGGAAAAGAAUUAGCUAAAAAGCAAUGUGAAGUAAACAAAAAUAAAAAGCUUCUCAAGGUAAAGAAUAACUUACAUUUGUCAGAGCACCAUUUGUUAUAAUCAUUACAAGUAUUUAUGAUCGAUCUCUAUGAUGGGAAUUUGAGCAAUGGGCAGCGGAAAAUAGUUAGUUUAGAGAUGGAAGAGGGCAUCCCUUUUACUGGAAGAAAUUGGAGGUCUCACGGAAGGAUUGAAGCAACAACAAUGAUACCAUAACAAUAUAUAUAAAAUUAAAUUGUGGUGCAACAAUAAUGAAUAUUAUGAUUUGAGAAAAAAUGAAUGGAAAAGGAAAAUAAAAAUAAAGAAUAAAAAAUAAUCGAAAAAAAGAAAAGGAGAGGAACAAGAAAUAAAGAAAUUGAAAAAUAAAAUUAAAAAUGCAAAAAUAAAAGGAACAAAUAUCGGAGAAAAAUGGGGAAAUUUGAGGGGAAAAAAGAGAAAAAUAAAUAAAUAAAUGAGAAAAAAAAGGAGUAUAUAAAAUAUAUUUUUUACUAAUUUUGAUUUUAAUAAAUAAGAUAGUGAUUUUUUAAAUUAUAUCUUGUUGUAAUCUAAUUAUUUAAUUUUCCUACAUUUUUAUUAGUCUAAAAAAAGUUAACUACUAUAUUUUAUUUUAUUUUUAAAAUAUAAAGGUAAAAAGGAAGAAAAUAUUUUUUCACAUGAAAAGAAAGGAUGAACCUUUCCCAAAAUAAAACAAAAAAGACAAAACACAAAAGAGCGCUGACGUCAUGUUGAGAAAAGAAAAAAUAGCUAUUUUAGGUAAUUAUUGAAGCGACAUCAAGGUAAAAGGAUAUGAAUAUGUAAUUAAUUUCCUGAUAUGGGGCAUGAGCUUAGUUUUGGUGUGAAAGACCUUAAAUCAGCCUAGUGCUAAAUAGGCCCUACAUACCUUAUCUAUUAUGCCAGUUGAGAGCUGCUAUUCAUACUUAACAAAUUGCUCUCUUUCUACACAUUCUUGAUAAAACAGAGAUGUCAUCAAGUGUUUGCUCAUCAACUUCCAUUUCUAAGUUCAUCUCAGAUCAACCAUAUCUUCAUAUGUUAGAAACCAAAUGUACCACUAUGACAGACCUCAAAAAGAUUCAUGCUCAUCUCAUAAAAAGUGGUCUAAUUAAGGAUAAAAUAGCAUCUAGCCGCGUUCUUGCGUUUUCAGCCAAGUCUCCACCCAUUGGUGACAUCAAUUAUGCAAACUUGGUUUUCACUCACAUAGAAAAUCCAAAUCUUUUCACUUGGAAUACUAUCAUUAGAGGUUUCUCAGAGAAUUCAACUCCGCAAUAUGCAAUUCAUCUCAUCAUUGAAAUGUUGAGCAGUUCACAAGUACAACCACACUUGCUUACUUAUCCUUCGAUUUUUAAGGCAUAUGCUCGAGGUGGUCUUGCAAAAAAUGGAGCUCAACUUCAUGGGAGAAUCAUCAAAUUAGGCCUAGAAUUUGACACAUUCAUAAGAAAUACUAUGUUGUAUAUGUAUGCAAGUUGUGGUUUUUUGGUUGAAGCAAGGAAAUUGUUUGAUGAGGAUGAGAUUGAGGAUGUUGUUUCUUGGAAUUCCAUGAUCAUGGGCUUAGCUAAAUCGGGAGAAAUCGAUGAUUCUUGGAGGUUGUUUAGUAAAAUGUCAACUAGAAAUGAUGUUUCUUGGAACAGUAUGAUAAGUGGUUUUGUUAGAAAUGGGAAGUGGAAUGAAGCAUUGGAACUAUUUAGCACAAUGCAAGAGGAAAAUAUUAAGCCUAGUGAAUUCACUUUGGUGAGCUUGUUGAAUGCUUGUGGACACUUAGGAGCACUUCAACAAGGGAAUUGGAUUUAUAAGUAUGUUAAGAAGAACAAUGUGGAGUUGAAUGUCAUUGUUGUUACUGCAAUAAUAGACAUGUAUUGCAAGUGUGGAAACGUUGAAAUGGCGUGGCAUGUUUUUAUAAGCAUCUCAAAUAAAGGGUUGUCUUCUUGGAACUCUAUGAUUUUGGGCUUAGCUACUAAUGGAUUUGAGGAUGAUGCGAUUAAGCUAUUCGCGAGGCUACAAUGCUCCAUUCUGAAACCGGAUUCUGUGAGUUUCAUCGGUGUACUAACCGCGUGCAAUCACUCCGGAUUGGUAGAUAGAGCUAAAUACUACUUCCAAUUAAUGAAAAAAGAAUAUGGUAUUGAACCAUCAAUCAAGCACUAUGGUUGUAUGGUCCGAUAUUCUUGGUCGAAGCAGGUACUAGUUGAAGAAGCCAGACGAGGUUAUAAGAAGUAUGAAAAUGGAACCUGAUGCUGUCAUAUGGUGUUCUUUGUUAUCGGCUUGUAGGAGCUACGGGAACAUGGAGUUGGCCAGAUGGUCAGCAGAGAAUUUGCUUGAGUUGGAUCCAAAUGAAAGCAGUGGCUAUGUAUUGAUGGCAAAUAUGUAUGCAGCCUCG